AUACCAUCGAAACCUCAAUUCUCUGGAGGCCCCGAAUGUGGAGGGAGUGCUCUAAACGAUAACCUGUUUCAGUUAGCAUCUGGGAAGCGGUUUCAAGCGUCGGCAGCAUCUAAAGCAAGAGCGGCUGCAUUGUUCGAAUCAGAAGUAGAACCUGCCGGCGAUAGUCUUUUCAAGUUAGCCUCUGGGAAGCAAUUUCAGGCCUCUGCAGCAGCGAAAGCAAGAGCAGCUGCGAUGUUCGAAUCGGAUGUUGAGCCUGCUGGCGAGAAUCUUUUUAAUUCAGCUUCCGCAAAGCUCUUUCAGGCAUCACCAGCAGCGAAAGCAAGGGCAGCUGCAUUGUUUGAAUCGGAUGUUGAGCCUGCUGGCGAGAGUCUUUUCAAGCUAGCUUCCGGAAAGCCCUUUCAGGCAUCAGCAGCAGCGAAAGCAAGGGCAGCUGCAUUGUUUGAAUCGGAUGCGGACGCUAUGGAUCAUAUGUCUUUUGAUGACUAGGUAUAUAAUUCUGGACAGCGGAGGAUAGGUCAGCGUUUUCACGGUCAUGAUGCUGUAGUAGUAGACGGAUGGAUUCAGUCGAGAGUCUUAAUCUCGCUACACCAUCAGAUGAGGGGAAAUGGUAGCUUGUAAUUUUCUUAUGAUUAAUGAUAUUGGCAGUUUGUAGAUGUGGUGGUGGUGGAGAGAUUGGUAGUUGGUCCAGUAUUGACGAAUGUUACCGCUGCUUGAAAAAGAACAAGAAAAGACCAUCAUCGCUGUAUGCAAUGGGAUCCAUCUCAGUACUGUGCUUAGAAAUCUCUGACGAGGACAAUAUGGAGUUAAGUAAAUCUUAUCGAGAAUAGAGUCUAACAAUCAGAUGUAGCGUUCCUCUCUAUCGCAGCAACAGAUUUACAAGGGAGUAAAAACGCGUGUCACAAGUUGGAGAAGGAGAGCAUUGGCAGCAUUCACAUGGUUUCCCACUAGGACCUCAAUGAAUCCUGAUUCCUUGGGCCACAGACUAUGACUUAGGGUUUUGUUCACUAGUUUGCAAGUUGUUUCCCGAUAUGACUGUAUUAUCAUAUGUGGGUUUCCUUGCCGAGUAAGAUCAAGCAGAACUGCAGCAUUCAAUUUGUGGGCCUGACGAUGACCAGUCUAUUGUUUGGUAGUGGUACAACAGAACGUAUUUUAGCGGAGUAAUAGGAUUACUCAUUUCUUUUAAGAGCGGAGGGCUUCAUCAUGGGUGGAGGCAAUACAGAUCUGUCUACCAUGAAGCUCGACGGCAUAUGUACAUGAUGUGACCAGUUGCAAAGGUAUUUGUAAGUUCUUUUAACCAGUCCUUCUGUAUAUAGAGCAGCUAAGGCUGUAACUGUAUACAUAUGUGUAUUUCCUAUUUUUUAGAAGGUUAACCAAGUAUUGAAGAUUAUUUUCUACAUUUUGAAAAGUUGUAUUGGUGAAGAUUGCUAAAGCUUUGUUGUUAAGAAUAUGUGACCUAGUAUCCUUGUGUGUGGUUAUAUGUAGUAGAAGACUAUUUUUUUUUUUUUUUUUUUUUUUUUGUAGAAGUCUUUUAGAUCGGCUAUACCUGAAUUUGAUAGAGAAUUGAUCUUGAGAAGUAGUGGAGUAAUAAAUCGGAAAUGUAUAUGGAAAAUGGCUCAUAGCUCGAAUGCUUAAACCAAUUAGUCAUGUUCAAUAUCGUUGCCUUGAGUAUGGGCACAUCCUAUAUUUCAAAUUUAGGUGACGCCCUUCAUGUUUAUUGAUGGUUGUAUUGAUAAUUAUUGUGACAUUGUUAUCAUCUCCUAUAUUAUUAGUUUGCUGCAAUUUUUGGGCCUUGUGUUUGAUUAUUGAAUUAUAAUUCAUCCAAUUCAUAAAAUUUGUGUUGCCAUGAGCAAAUUUUGAAGGAAGGUUGAGUAUUGAUACUUACAGAACUCAUACAAGAACACAUCAUCUCUUAGACUUUUUUGGUGCUUUGACAUUAGUGUAGUUCACCAAAAAUACAAGCAGCCUGUUAUUGUAUACAAAUGCAAUUAUAUGGUGAAAAAUAAAAAUAUGGAGUUAUUGUGGAAGAAUCUAGUAGAAAGAUGUAGUAGAAAAAUAAGGAUAAAUGAUAAGAAGGUAGUAAUACUUUUAAUCUUGAUAUUAUUUUUUAUAGUAGAAUUUUUUAUUUACUUUAUAGAAGCAUAAAUGCCUCUAAUCAAAGUAAAUGAGAUAUAUAAAUAAUAUAGAAAAAUUUAAGAGAGAAUUAAGAAUAGGUUUAAGCAAAAAUUACCUCAAAUUACCAAAAAUUGGUACUUGGAGAGGACCAAUUGUCAACUUGGGUCAAAAUUAAACCCUAAGGCGCAAAACCACACACCUAUAGCAACAUUGUAGAUUCUUCUUGUCAAUCAAAGAGUUAGAUUAGGAAGUAGACUUAUGAAGAGAUUUUUGAAAGUUGUUACAUGUCAUUUGGAUUAAUAUUGAGGUUUUUAAGGAUUUUCAAAAUUAGUGAUGCUUUUAGUGGAUUUAGAUUUUAAGAAAUAAAAACAAGUUUACAAAUUUCAUGAUUUUGUGAGUUUUAUAGUGUAUUUACAAGGAAAAAUUUGGUAGCUUAUUGUUGUGCUUGUUAUAAAUAUGUAUGAGAAAUUUGAGAUUAAUUGAGCAGUUAGAUUGAAGAAUAUGAGAGAUCUUAUAGAUUAUGGUCUUGGAUAAUUAAAAUUUAAGGUCAAUGAAGGAUUUUGGAAUCUGAUAAGAUUUGCUAGUUUGAUUGAAGCAAGAAUUGGUGAAAGCAAUUUAGACUUGAAUAACUAUACACAAUCUAAUUUUUUGAGCAAAUGAAUGGUGCAGCAAGAAGAAAUCUUUAUUGAAAGAUCAACAUUCAAGUCAAAAAAAGAGAGUAGCCAACAAUUGAGAGGUUUUGAGAGCUUUUCUUGCAAUUAGUAAGUUCGAUUUUUCUCAAAUUUUGCUUGCUUGUUAAUUGCUUGUUGAUUAAAAUCUAAGUGAAAUUUUAGUCAAGAUUUACAUUUCAAUUAAUAUUUAUUGAGGUUUCAAACAACUAUAGUAAUUGAUUAAGUUUCACUUGAGAUUUUCUUGAAAUUGUUUAGGAUUUAAUUAGAGUUGGUCUAAGAUUUAGGAUUUUUCUAGAAUUUCAUUAAGGUUGAUUUAGGAUUUAGGAUUUUGUUAGGAUUACAUUAUGAUUGGUCUAGGAUUUAGGAUUUGAUUAAGAUUUGGUUAGGAUUUAUUAAGAUUUCAUUAGGAUUGAUUUAUAAUUUGGUUAAGGUUUAUUAAGAUUUCAAUUAGGAUUUUAAUUAGAAUUUAUUUGAUGUUUGAUCUAAAAUUUAGUUAAGAUUCAUUAAGAUUUUAAUUAAGAUUAAAUUAGAAUCUGAUUAGGAUUUAUUUAGGAUUUUUAUUUCUAUUAUUUUUUUUUCAAUUAUUGUCAUUUCUUUAAGGUUUUAUUUUUAUAUUUAUUUAGGAUUAUUUUUUUAUUCUCCUUCAAUCCUCCAACAUGAAACCAAUCUCAUGCCAGCAUGAACCAUCCAAGGUAAGCAAUGCAUGCAUAAGCACAAGAAUUGUCCUAUAAGUUCAUGCAGUUCUAGCUAGUGAAGUACAAUUCUUUGUCUUGUAACAGUUGAUGUUUAUUGACUUGUCAAUUUAGUGCUGUAACUUUUUGCUUUGGCAACAGAUGUACUACAACUUUUUUCUUUCUUAAUCUGAAAUAUUUACAAGGAAGUCUGUUUUCUUAGCUGUAGUGACCAGACGUUGGUAACAUGCAAGGUAGGAGCAAUAAAUUCGUAAACAUAUGCACACUGCAGAGGAGGGAAACUCCCGACCUGCUUGUCUGGCAUUUUACACAUGACAACUAAAGAUUGUAUGUGCAUCGCUGAUUUGGUGAUUGUGAGUGCUCCUAAAGCACUUAACUUGUUUCCAUUCAGACAUGUUGUGAGCUCUAUUUGAUCCCCUCGAAGUAUACUCAAAAUUCACCUGAUUCACGGAGGAUUUUGUAUCUUUCAGCUGUUGGCUCCUGAAACGUCACCAGACAUUAAUUUAUUAUUAAAAUGAACAUGGAAUGCAUGGACCCUAGAGCAGUCGAACUUCAGGUUGGAGGUUGUAGAGUACUUUUCUGAAUUUUCUUACCACCCUUCUAAUGCACUGUAAGGGUAAGGACACAAAUGCACGCUUCUUGUGUUGGUUCAAUUGAACUCAAAAAAAACUUCGUUGAUUAUCGAUGAUCACCAAGCAACCAAGAUUUUAAUACACUAUCUCACGUCCAAAGGGCACUCUGAAACCACCUUACAUAUUAUCUUUAGAAAGUCUCCAAGUACCGAAACCGCAGAAUAUGACUUGGAAACUGCCAUCAUCUAUCAGUUUGAGUUCCUUGGUGAGAUCGAGCACGAAUUGGAAGUGGCAGUUGAACAGCAGUUUCGCUCUCGGCAGAACUUUCUGUGUCCGCCUGCUGUCUCAAGCUGCCAAGUUACUACAUGCAAUAUGCAAAAGUGCUGCACAAGUAGCCAUCCUCGGACGAUAGGUCUGGAAUGACAAGAAUUACUGGUAAUGGGUGUGGGAGGAAAACCAACCCCUCUGAUCUGAUCUGAUCCGACCUCUAAGCAUCAGCUGAAGUCAAUUGUUAAACUAUUUCUAAUCCCUCAAUUAGCUCUAGCAAAUCCCUUUGGCCUCCCUAUCUGAGCUCCGCAGGUUGAAUCAAUCAACUGAAGACGUCACAAAUCGCGAUUUAACUACUGACAAAUGAGAUAUCUAUGCAUACUUACCCAUGCGAUUUUCAAUGAUACUAUCUCAAUCAACUGCUAAAGAAUGUGAACGCUUGGUUUUCGGUUGCGUGGGCUGAAAAACUUGAUAAUCUCAGAGACUAGUUGAGGUGAGCUCUACUUUGCCGCUCCUGGAUCUCGUGCUCCCGCUUAAAGGAACUCGUCUUUGACACAUUGUGUGUGUGUAUUUUUUUGUACAUGAGCAUGCGGUGACAAUGGAAUCUGUAUUGACCUCUUCAGUUGUGACCUGGAGAUGGAGUCCCUGUCGAUGGAGAAGUACUACCCUUCGCCAAGCUUGUGAACAUGAAGGCAAACUUGGAAACAAAGUGAGCAGAUUGCGUCUUGGACGAUGAUGGUACCAUCAUGGAUGUCACCUUACCUUCAACCUUCGUCGAGAGCUUGGUGGUCUCCAUUAGCAUUCUGCGAUUUGGCAAUGUGUGCGCCAAAAAACCUGGAUCAAUGUUAAGGCCAGUUGCUCUUGAUACUAGUCUCGAAGGGUCGCUUGCCAAGAUAUGGGAUACGGUCACUGAUUCUUCGUGGAGUUUUUCUGAUAGCAUAGUUCUGCCUGCUAGAAUAGAAUCUGGAGCGAUGAUGAAAAAGACGAUGACCUUGGCGAGUAUGCCGGUGGAUAGCGCCAUAGCUGAAGCGUGCAAGUAAAGAACUUUCAUAGAAAUGAGCUGAUCAUUAGCGUGGUUGAGAAUGCUAUCUGCCGAUUUCAAACGCUACAAGGCCUCUCAUUCACGUAAUUCUCAUCGAGAUCACUCACAGCGCCAAGGUAAAGUUAACAGUCUAAAUCUCCACGAUUCCCACCAGUUGGUUGGAGAUUCGACGUUAGACUAAAAUCUAUGCGACAUGCCACCCAACACAGAAUCACUCGAACUUUAAAGGACGACAGAGAACAAUCCUCGGGCAACCGCUGGCCAGGUUCUGUAAAUGCACUGGGCCGAUCAGUUCAAUCAAACUCGGGGGAAGUUUCACGCCAACUUGGUUGUUUUAGACUUAGCUACUUGCGCAGUGAGAGUUUGGGUUUGAUUAAAGAUCGGCACCCUGCAUUAGUCUUUAUACAGGGGAGCGAGAAGGGUGACGACGAAAGGUGGGAAAGGCGGCUCCAAAAGAAAAGGGCAGGAAAGGGAGCGACCAGGGCGAGGACCAUGGACUGCUAGUUUGGACUUUUAAGUGAAAGCUCUCGGAACCCAUCACCCUGGAGCCCUUCGUUCCCCACCAUCGCCAUUACGCCUUUGACUUUCCACCCACCUACGGAGUGGCACAUCUCUCACUAGUCAGCAUCUCUCACCCCAAACUCUCGGUACUUUGAAUCUCCUCCUCCCUCUUUGCACCCCAAUUUUCGGUAGUCACGAUACCUCUAGAUUUCUGACAAUUUUCUGACAAAUGAAGGUACAUCGCCUUGUAGACGAGACAUGCACUACAAAGACAUUUUCUGGUGUUCUCGUCAUGAGAUUUUUCCCUUUCGUGUGGCUCGUUUAUUAAUUUGCAACAGGAACUGUGGUGAAUUUCGAGUGCGAUUUCGACUAUUGAUGCGUUCAAGCAUCUUUGGAGCACAGUUUUGAUUGAACUCAAGUUUAGAGGACCGGAUGGGCAGAAUCUCGGUACAGGAGUAGUUGGAGGGGAUCGGAAUUUGAGGCCCCCAGUACUAUCAAUUUUUCACCUCGAAGUUUGGAAAACUGAAGUGGGAGAAAAUCAAAAGUGAUGUAAAAAUGAAGGUGGCUUGCCUCAAUUUUCAAUGGAGAAAGUCUGUUGACAUGUAUGAGUAGGAAGAGUAGGUGACAAGUUCCUGCAUGCUUCUGUCAACAGGUGGUCUCCACUUCAUUCCAACGUCGGCAAUCGGGAAGUUGCGAGCAAUUACUUGGACAGUGGUUUUUGGAGUUGACGACGCAGCGCGUGCCGCCAGCGUUGCCGGGUCCUUUCUAACAAUAACACACAGUUUCAACUUAGGUUUGCAGUUUACUGGAGUCAUGUCGCUUUCCCUGUCAGCCUUUUGUUUGACUUAUACCGACCACAGCUUUUCCAUUAAGCUUACCAAAGGCGUGUCUCUGUACGUGGCGAACCUGUUAUAAAGCGACACCGUUUGGUUCUCCUUUACCUUGACAAAACUGCGCCCCGCCGAUAGAUGCCCUUAGCCAUAAUUCGUCGCUUACUCACAAGAAUUCGCUGAGGUCGUUGAGAAGAACAAAUGCUCUUGGGUGGCUUCGCACGAUCCUGUCCUUUCUCAAGCUGAGGAAAAACGAACAAUACCAUGAAACCGCUUUUAUUUUUGUUUGUGUUUCAACCAAGGGCUGUUAAUAAAUUCCUGCACUUGAGUAAAUUUAUCAAAACUCUGCAACUUUGACCUCACCGUCGCAGAUAAGGUAGGAAACCGACAAGUUUUAAGAGAGAUUUAUUGACUGCUCUCUGCGAAAGUGAAGUUAACAACAUAUGCAUAACCAACUCAUCCAACAGACUGCGGAGCACUGGACGACGAAGACGGUGGGAUGGGUCAGCACCGGCAACCAGUCAGCAAUGUGAUCCUCUCGGUUGCAUACAGCCAUAGGUGUCGAAUCAAACGGCAAUUCAAUUGUCGGGGUUCGACGUCCGAAAUCUAGCUUCCUCCUCUGACGUUGCGAAUGAGUGGCGGGUCUUCCAGGUCGCAGCCUUACAGUGGCAUCGUGCGGACUCCGACACCAGAUUCACAACCAUGGCAGCGAUGCUACCUCAUCCUUUUUGAACAAUCCAACACUAAGACUUCAGCGACACACGGCACGUCUCACGAGGUUGAGCUAAUCAGGCUGGAUUUUAGCGACUGUCACCGCAGCGUCGGGUGAUUGUGUGCUUGUCGGACCAUUGCAGCGGUGGAGACUGACCUGGCAGAUGCUAGUGCUCAGGAAGCUGCAGGGGAGAGUCGUGAGCAGCUGGAUUAAUUGAACUAUGUGCCGCCUACAGUUUGUCUAUGCAAAGGCUGACACGCUUUGACUUGCUCUUUCCCAGCUUAGGGCUACUAGUCCUCCGAAACCUGUGCACUCACCGUCUCACUGUGGCGCCGUUCUCCGGCUACCGCACCCCCAAAAACUCGCACACUUCAACGUUUCUCAUGUGCCGCUCGCAAAUCGCACCAUCGACAACACUAGAGCACACCAGUGUGAAGAAAACCAUCUGCACUGUGAACUUGUUCGGCUUUUAAGACACCUGCAGGAAUUAGCAACUAAAGCUGCCAUGAUAUACCACAUAACCCAUUUGGGCUUCCUCAUCCUGUCGUCGAAGUAUAAAAUGAAAUAGUUUUACAAACAAAGAUGACUGACUAUGAAUAAUCUUGCGCACGUGUGUAGGUUUCUGUGAUGUGGUUCUGAUUGGUAAGUGUCAAGCUUUCAGGUUUUGGAUUUUUAACCUGCGAUGUUUGCUUUGAAAUUUAUGCACAUGUUCUGAAAUGGUACAUGAAAUAAAGAAAUUCAAUACAGCCAAACGAAGCAACGGUGGUACUUCAAUUAAAAUGGAUCAUUAUAGCUCUACAACCAAGAGACUUCAAUCUCCAAAAUUUGCUUAGACACAGACUCAUGUUUGCAAAACCAACAACAAAAGGUCAAUUGUGGUCAAAAUUCUCUUGGGUCCCCAGAAUAAAACACUAAUGGUGUUUGGGUUCAUAAUAGGUAAACCGUGGAUCAAAAUGGUAAAAUUUUAAAACUCCAAUACACCUAUUUCAUUUUAUAACAUUUACAAUGUAGUUUGAUCUCCAACUCUAAAUUACUGAUAGUUUUUUUUCUCAAUAGAACAAUGAAAAUACAAGAAAUUUAAAUUGAAUUAAAUACUUCACAAUAUUUUUUAUUACAAAGAACAAAAGUUUAAGAUACUAUAAGACUUUUAUCUUAUUCUGUACAAGGAAAUUAGACUAGAUUAAUAAAUUAUAAGUCAAAUUAAUGGAAAUAUUUUCUAUACUAUGGAAUUAUCUAUCUAACAAUACUAUGGAAUUAUCUAACAAUUAGAUUGAAGUAUAUCUAAAAAAAAAAAAAAAAAAAAAAAAACACUUGUAUUUCUCAUUUUAUUUUAAAUUGAUUACUUUUAGCAUAUUCAUAUCAAAAGAUUACUAUUAUUAAAAAAAUAGUAUAUAUUAUAGUAGAAGCAAAUUGAGAAUAUCAAGUUGGAAUAAAGAUUGAUUAUAAUUGAUGUAUAUUUAAGGUGUUGCUAAUGCCAUCACAUUUUUUUCUAUUGCCACCACAAUUUGCCAUGUACUAUAUGUUACGAUAGUUUUUGCUACUAUCUCAAUAACUUACUCUUAUUAAAUUACUAUCUAUUUUUAUAUUUAUAAAAAUUAUUUUCUAUAUAAUAUAUUAGAAAUAUUUAUAAAAUUAACUAAAAUAAAGAAUAAAAAAUGUACUAAGUGAGUAGCAAGUUGUGGUAGCAUUAGUAAAAAUUGUGGUAGCAAUAGUAAAAAUUAUAAUGGCAUUUGCAACAUCUUAUAUUUUCGACCAAAUUUCAAUAAAAUUUUAAAUGGAACUUGCAAAAAGAUGAUCCUAAAAUUUCUAAUAGAAUCCUAAACAAACUUCAAUUAAAUUAUAACAAUGCUAAUCAAUCUUUAGAUAAAUCCAAAAAAACCUCAAGAAAUUACAAAAGAAACAUUAAAAAAUCAUAAGUUAAACUUAAUAAAAUAUAUAAAAUAAUAAAAUUUUAAAAAAUAUUAAAAAUACAAAUCUUAAUUGAAUCCUAAUCAAACCCUAAUGUAAUCUUCAACAAAUCCUAAUAAAAUCCUAAACCAAUUCCAAUCAAAUCUUAAUAAAAUCUUAAAUCCUAAUCCUAAGCCAAAUCCUAAUCAAAUCCUAAAUCCUAAUUUUUGACCAAAUUUCAAUAAAAUUUUAAAUUUUAAUAAAAUCCUAUCAAAUUCUAAACAAAUCCUAAUCAAAUCCAAGACAAAUUCUAAAUCUUAACCAAAUCCUAGUAAAAUCCUAAAUUUUAAUGAAAUCCUAAACAAAACCUAAUCAAAUCAUAAAUCUUAAUCUUUGAUCAAAUCCUAAAUCAAAUCCUUAUCAAAUCCUAAUCAAAUCUUAGAUCCUAUAUUAAUCCUAAUCAAUAUUUAAUAAAAUUCUAAAAUUUAAAUAAUUCUUUAUAAUCUAAUAGCAAAUUUAAAAUUCAAUAAUUAAUAAUUGAAUCAUUGAUUUUGAUUCAAAAUUUUUACACCUUGCAAUAACUAAAUAAGCAACAAGUAUAAUUUUUUUUGAAGAAGAUCGCUUAUAUUAAUUGUAUAAAAAGCUCCCAAAACCUCUUAGUUGUUGGAUGCUUCCUUCUUUGGCUCAAACAUUGAUCUUUCAACAAAGAAUUCUCCUUGUUAAUCCAUUCAAUUGUUCUACAAUUUGGAUUGUCUGUAGAUAUUUAAGUCUUAAUUAAUUUUACUAAUUUUUUCUCCAAUUAAACUAGCAAAUAUUAUAAAAUCCUUCAAUGACCGUAAAUCUCAAUUAUCUAAGACCAUAAUCCAUAAAAACUCUCAUAUGUUUCAAUCUAACCUCUCAAUUAACUUCAAAUUAUUCAUAUACAUUUAUAACAAGUUGUCAGGGACAAGAACUCGAUGAAAGCUAAAGAGUAAGUGAGACUUUUCUCAAAAAGAAAUAGGACAAAAUAGAAAUAUGUAUAUUAAGAAAGAAACUGGAAUGGCUAUUGCCAAAAUACAAGAAAACUAGAGACCCUUGAAACUAGACUAGAAGCAAGAAAGGAGUUGACAAGAGUGAAGAGGGCUUCACUCUUGCCUCUAUAUAUACUAUCUAACUAGAAGCCACGUGGCGAUGUUCUAUAAGACCUCCAAUAUAUGUUGACUUUCUAGGCCACAUGCCUUUGCUUGCAAGGCAAGUUUUCUAUGGAUAGACCACGUAGUUAGCUUGUUCUUUAAGCUUCCAACAUGCGUGGCACAUGGCUAACUUGUUGACCAAGUUUCUAACCUAAAAGUCAACUAUAGACUCCUAUAAAGUCAAAGCAGCGUCUAUGAAGCUUCUAAGAAGCUUCUCUAGAAGAUAUUACACAAUUAACCUACUUUUACAUACUUUUAUCUAUUCAUAUAGGUAAUUAUAUGUAUGUCCGUGACAUUACCCCCCCUUCUAGGGACGAGUUCCACGAGGAGCGGUGAUUAUAUAUUGAGAAAAUCUAAUAUGCGGCGAAUUGUAUUUGCUACAUACUCUGAUCUUUGUUCUCUUCGAAGAUAGUUGAUGGGUCCUCUUAGCCAUCGAUAGUGUCCCAUUCCAGGGCGAGAAGACCACCCUGUUAUUUGAUCACUGUUGAGGCCUUCAUAACUUCCUUCAAAUAAUACAUUUGAAACACCAUCAGGAGUCGUUCCUAUCUCCAAUAAUAUCACCAAACAUCGAGAAUCUCUUCCAAGGUCGUGAUACCAAACGCGUUGUAUCUCACCAUCUAUUCGAGGAAGAACAUGUCGUUCUUGAGGGUCUUCAUUUCGGUUGCGUCGUCUUGAAGGUUGUGACAAUCGCAAUGUCUCAUCCGGUAAGUCAGCAAACGAAGGUUCUUGAGUUGAAUCCGCUGGUUGUUGGCUCUCCAUCUAAUUAGCGUCACAAAAUGCAAAGAAGUUGCAAACAAGGAUAGGAAAUUGAAUGUUAUCUUGCCUCAAUCUUGUCUCUUUUAUAAGAGAGGUUUUCAUCUUGGUUUUGAUGGAUGUCGUUGAUGAAAAACUUUGACUUUAGCUGAUGCAUUUGCUAGAUUCCUGGAUGGCUCCCAUGUGCGCUCACUAAUAUCAUAUCCGCACCAAUGAACAAGAUAUUCCAGCUUAUUUCGGCGCCGCCUUGAGUCUAAUAUCUCUUCCACCUCAAAUUCUUCAUUAUUAUCUACUUCUAUAGGAGGCGGUGGCAUUUGUCUUCUUCCUUGUAUAUCCACUGUCUUAUAUGGUUCAAGAAGAGACACGUGGAAUACAGGAUGGAUCUUCAUUGACUCCGGUAGAUGUAACCGAUAUGCAACUGGGUUGAUCUGUUCAGAAACAGAAAAGGGGCCAAGCCUACGAUAGUCCAAUUUGUCACAAGGUCGAGUGGUCUUGAUAUUGCGACGAAGUAGCCAUACCUUAUCACCCACGUUGAGUUGUGGUUGCUCUUUACGAUAUACAUCUGCAUUUAUCUUUUGUCGUUCUUGAGCUUUCUUCAACUGCGCCUUUAUUAUUGCAUGUAACUCUGACAACCGAUUUGCCAUAUCUUCUGCUGCAGGAUUAUCAACUUUUGAAAAAUCAAAAGUAUCAAGUCAUGGAUGAUAGCCAUAAUUGGCAAAGAAAGGUGUUUGUUGCGUGGAGGAAUGUACCGUAUUAUUAUAAGCAAACUCUGCCAAUGGCAGAAGGUUUGUCCAAUCAUCUUGUUGGUAGUUGAUAGUACACCUUAAAUACUGUUCCAAGACUUGGUUUACGCACUCUGUUUGUCCAUCAGUUUGAGGAUGGAAAGCUGAAGAUAGCUUUAUGUCCACUUUUAAAAUCUUGAAAAGAGUCCUCCAGAAUCUCGACACAAAUUGAGUUCCCCUAUCCGAUAUGAUAUCUUUAGGUAAUCCAUGAUAGCGAUAGAUAUUAUCAAUGAAAAGCUUAGCUGUUUCUUCACCUGUGAUAGAUUUUGUACAUGGCAUAAAAUGUGCCAUCUUGGUGAAACGAUCUACUAUCACAAAUAUAGAAUCAUAAGAUCUUGAGUUUGGAAGAUCUGUGAUGAAAUCCAUAGAAACAGAAGACCAUGGUUGUUCUGGUAUAGGUAAUGGCUGAAGAAGUCCGUAAGGUCGAUGUCGAGGAAUUUUUGAUCUUGAACAAAUAUCACAUGAUUGUACAAAGUCUUUGACUGACUUCCACAUUUGUGGCCACCAAAAAUCUCUUGAUAUGAGUUCCAGAGUCUUAUUAUAUCCAAAGUGCCCUGCUGCUGGAAAGUCAUGACGUGCUUGAAGAACACGCAAACGUGCUUUUCCUUCUGGAACAUAUAGGCGUCCUUCAAAAUAUAAUAGAUUAUUCUUGAACUCGAACUUAGAAGAAUCAUGAGACUUAGAAGAAUUAUUCUCGAUAUCAUGAACAAGAGGGUCUGAGGACAUACUGGACUGGAUUUGCUUGAGAAAAGUUGAAUCAACAGUCAAUGUUGAUUUCACUGCUCGGAGAUGAAAUUGCUCCGGUUUCAAGAGGACCGUUCUUUGUUGCUCAAAAGCUGCAUCUCCUUCUUUUGGUGCAAAAUAAGAACGUCUAGACAGGGCAUCGGACAAACCUUGUUGUUUUCCUGGCCGAUAAGUGAUAAUGAAGUCGAAUCUUGACAAAGACAUACUCCAACGAGCUUGACGACGAUUCAACACGCGUGCUGACAUGAAAUACUCGAGGUUCUUGUGAUCUGUAUACACAGUGACUGGACUAGAAGCACCUUCUAGAUAAUGACGCCAUUCUUGAAAGGAAUCCACGAUUGCAAGAAGUUCUUUAUCGUGGAUCUCAUAAUUGAUCUCGGCUGCUGAGAAUUUUCUUGAAUGAAAAGCUAUCGGAUGAAGUUUGUCAUCUGUUCCCAUUUGUGAUAAAACUGCAUCCAAGGCAAAAUCCGAUGCGUCUGUUUCCAUAAAAAAUGCCUUGGAAAAGUCAACACGAUAUAAGACUGGUGCAGAGACAAACGAUGUCUUCAAGGCUUCAAAUGCUGCUUCCGCUUCUUGAUUCCAUUGGAAUUUAUCUUUACUAGUCAAGCGUGUAAGUGGAGCUGCAACUCGUGAGAAGUCUUUGAUGAAGAUCCGAUAGUAAUUGGCAAAUCCCAAGAAACAUUGGACAUCUCUCACAGUCUUUGGAAUCUUCCAAUCCAUGAUUGUUUGGACUUUCUUAGAAUCCAUCAUAAGACCAUCAUUUGAAAUGAUGUAUCCUAAAAAGUCAACUUGAGUAGUGUGAAAUACACACUUUUCCAUCUUGGCAUACAAUCCUGCAUCUCUGAGUUUUUGUAAUACUUGACGAACAUGUAUUUCAUGUUCUUCAACAUUCUUAGAAUAAAUCAGGAUAUCGUCUAGGUAGCAGACGACAAAAUUGUCUAAGAAUUCACGAAAUACAUCAUUCAUGAGAUGUUGAAAAGCAGCUGGUGCAUUCGUGAGUCCAAAAGGCAUGACAUUAUAUUCAAAAUGCCCGUACCUGGUUCGAAACGCAGUCUUCCAUUCAUCUCCUUCUUUGAUACGUACUAGAUUAUAUGCUCCUCUUAGAUCUAUUUUUGUAUAGAUCUUAGCUUGAUUUAACUGGUCAAGGAGUCCUGAUAUCAAAGGUAAUGGAUACCUGUUCUUGAUUGUGAUCUUGUUGAGUCCUCGAUAGUCAACACACAUUCGUAAAGAUCCAUCUUUUUUCUUUACGAAUAAAAUUGGAGCUCCUGCUGGAGAUUUUGAAUGGCGUAUGAAAUUCUUCGCUAAAUUCUCGUCAAUAUAUGUCUUGAGUUCAGCCAAUUCAUCUUGCGAUAAACUGUAAAUUGGUCCAAAUGGUGGCUGAGUUCCUUCCUUGAGAUCGAUUGAACAAUCGUAUGGGCGAUGCUCAGGAAGAAUAUCUGCAUUCUUUUUCUCAAAAACAUCUUGAUAAUCCUGAUAUUGACUUGGAAUGCCACUUGAAGUCUUUACGUUUUCAGAAAUAGGUGCAGCAUAAAUAGCAAAAGUUGAUCCUUCUUUUGCUGCGUGUAUAAAUGCUUUUGCACCUAUAGGUGCGAGUUUUACUAUACUAGACUCAUGGUUUUUUACUUGGUUAAUAGAACUGUUACUAAUGCUCUGAGGAAAAUCAAGUUUACGAGAAAUCCAAUCUAUUCGAGGAUUAUACUUUUCUAACCAUGAUAAGCCUAAAAUUACUGGAUUAGAGGGAGAUCUAAUUAUAUUAAAAAUUACGCAACUACUAUGACCAUUUAUUACUACAUCUACAGGAAGUGUUUCGUGAGUUACAUCUCCAGAAGACAACGGACGACCAUCUAUGACUUCUACGUGUACAGGUUUAGUUUUUUGUAUUAAUGAUAUUCUAUGACAUCUAGCAAAUUCUUCAUCUAAAAAACAAGAUGAGGCUCCUGAAUCUACCAAGGCAGAGGCUUUGUAAUUAUUAGGUCCUAAACGCACAUCUAUUAUAAAACAAGGAGAUGGUUUUGAGGAGAGGAUAGGACCUUUAUUAGAAGUUGUACAAGAUUCCAGCCGCACGGUCCCUAUUGUAGCUGGACGUACUCGUUUUCCGACAUACUGUCUUCUUUGACAGCCGUACUCCUCAUUUUGUAGUUACGUCGCUUCUUUGGACAAUGUUGAGCAGUGUGCUUAGGUUCUCCACAAUAUAAGCACAAUCCUUCUUGUCGACGACGAGACUUUUCUUGCUCAGUAAGAGGUUUGAAACGUACCGCAUCAAUUUGCAUAUCCUCUACUUCCGAAGGUAUGUGUUGAGGAGACGUCGGUGUUGCCAUUGAAUUGUAGUAACGUUGAGGCCCACUUGUGCGAUUCUCGGAUCGAAAUUCAAAAAGUCGAUUGUCGCACUUCACAGCAAAGUCAAUUGCUUGACUCAAUGUUUGAGGAUCAGGUAAAUUAAGCAUCAAUUUCUUUACCUCAUAUUGUAAUCCGUAGAGAAAUUGACUCACAAGUGCGGCAUCAUCCCACUUGAUAUCAGUUGCAAGUUGUCGAAAUUGCGAAGCAUAUAAUGUUACUGAUCGAUUGCCUUGUCGCAAAAUAUGGAUCUUGUUGGUUGCAACACGAAUUGCAUCAUGUUCUCCAAACAUGGAUCGAAACUCCGCCAAAAAAGCCUCCAGAUUAUCCAAUAUUGGAUCUCGUCGUUCAAGAAAAGAUGAAAACCAUGACAAUGCUGAACCUGAAAGAAGUGUACCAAUGAAUCUUACUUGUGACCCUGGAGUUGGAUAGCUCUGGGGUUGAAGUUCAAUCACUAGUUGGACCUGAUUGAUGAAUCCUCGAAACUUGGAUCUGGUACCAUCAAACUUCUCGGGCAAGGCAACUCUCGGUUCUCUAACACUCGAAGGGUGUUCCAUUCUGGGAGAAGGGACAUGGUUUGGUGCAGAUGUUGAAGCAGCCCCAAUCAUCUCUAUAUCUUCACUUCCUACCAUUCUUGUUGCUCCUUGUGGUGGUAAAUUGAGUUGAUGCAUCGCAAGCAUUAACUCCCUCAAUUGUUCUUGCAUCUGUGCCAUUGCACUCUUCAUUUCAACAAGCUCUGCCAUAGUAGCACUUAGAAAAGAGAAGAUGUCUAACAACGCUCAAAACAAAUAGAAGAGAGGAAUUGAUAACAAAGAAAAUACUAAGAACAAUAUCAGUUUAAAAGAGGGUAAUCCGCAACUUCUAAUGCGCUUAUGUCUUAUCAAGAAAAAGGGGUAAUCCACUCUUAAUCAAGAAAAGACAAAGCUCUGAUAUUGUAAGUGGACUCUUGUCAAUCUGUCAGGGACAAGAACUCGAUGAAAGCUAAAGAGUAAGUGAGACUUUUCUCAAAAAGAAAUAGGACAAAAUAGAAAUAUGUAUAUUAAGAAAGAAACUGGAAUGGCUAUUGCCAAAAUACAAGAAAACUAGAGACCCUUGAAACUAGACUAGAAGCAAGAAAGGAGUUGACAAGAGUGAAGAGGGCUUCACUCUUGCCUCUAUAUAUACUAUCUAACUAGAAGCCACGUGGCGAUGUUCUAUAAGACCUCCAAUAUAUGUUGACUUUCUAGGCCACAUGCCUUUGCUUGCAAGGCAAGUUUUCUAUGGAUAGACCACGUAGUUAGCUUGUUCUUUAAGCUUCCAACAUGCGUGGCACAUGGCUAACUUGUUGACCAAGUUUCUAACCUAAAAGUCAACUAUAGACUCCUAUAAAGUCAAAGCAGCGUCUAUGAAGCUUCUAAGAAGCUUGUCUAGAAGAUAUUACACAAUUAACCUACUUUUACAUACUUUUAUCUAUUCAUAUAGGUAAUUAUAUGUAUGUCCGUGACACAAGUACAACAAUAAACAAUCUAAUUUUUACUCAUAAAUAUGCUACAAAACUUGCAAAAUCUUCAAAUUUAUAAACCCGUUUUUAUUUCUCAAAGUCUAUAUCCAUAGAGUACAUGAUUAGUUUUGAAAAUUCCUUAAAAUCUCAAAAUUAAUCCAAAAGACAUAAAACCGACACUCAAAAAUCUCUUCUUAAGUCUAAUCUCAAAGUUCUUUCUUCAAUUUGCAAAAGAAUAUUGAAGUCGUGGUAGAUACUUGGUUUUGAGUCUAAGGGUCUAAUUUUAACCAUGAUUGGCAAAUAAUCGUCUCUAGGUAUCAAUUCUUGUCUUUUGUAAGCCUAAAUUCCACCAUUCUAUGAAACUAAUACUAUACAACAAGUUCAAGAGGUAGAAUAGAGAAUUUUUAAUUAUGCAAUUGCUAAAUUAAUUCAAUUGUAGGUGUUUGUGAUUUAAUUUGAUUUAUUGUAUUUCAAGCAAUGAUUACCAAUAUUAAUUAAUAUUAUUAUUAACAUAAAUAUAUUUAUUAUUUAUUUUAUUAUUCUAUUAUUUAUUUAUUAAUUUUAAUAUAAAUAUAUAAAUAUAAAUUAUGAUAAUGAUAAUUUAUUGAUUUAUUUUAGCAUAAAAAAAUUAUUUUGUAUAUAGAAGAAAAGAAAAGAAAAGAAAAGAAAUAAAAUAAAAUAAUAUAAAAAUAAAAUAAUAUAAAAAUAAAAAUAAUUUUAAAAUAAAAAUAAAAGUGAAAAUAAAGAAUAAAUUAAAAUAAAUUAAAAUUUAGAAAUUAAAAAUUAAAUUAAGGUUAAUUCAAAAGUUGGAAGGUGAAGAAUAAAAUAAAAUAAAAUAAAAAACAAGAUAAAGAUAGAAGGAAUUAACCUCAACCAUGCUCUACUUGAGUUCAACGCACUUCUUUCUACUUCAAAAUUUUCCAAAAAUUUGGAUCAGCUCUAAAUCACAUGAUUCUUUCUUGGUUGAAAAUCCAACUUAAAGAUGCUCUUGUUCCAAAAAUCUUCGUAGCAAUCCAAUACUUGCCAUGAAAAAUGCUCCUUCAAAAUUGAGUAAUUGGGACUUCCAUGGCAACCUAUCUCUUUUGCUUGCAAAUUCACCAAAAAUUCAAAUCGGCAUCAAUUUCUAUGAAAUUAAUUCUUUUGAAAGAUUAGCUUAUAAUUUUUUUUUUUCUUAAAAAAUAAAAUAAUCCAAUCAUAAGGCACUAGAGAUUGCCUUUUCAAAAUUGAUUAAUCCAAACUACCAAGGCAGCUGAUCUCCUUACAUUCAACAAUUCACCAAAACUUUGCUCUAACUCGAAAUCAAGCAAGCCUUAUCUUGUUGGAAAGUUGAAAAUAAUAGGUAUGUACUAAAAAAAAUCACUUUAAAAAUCAUAGACUCCAUAGACUAAUUGAAGUAAAUCCAAGGCCCUUCAAAUCCCUUAACUAUUUAAGUUUUUGAGAACCACUAAUUUUAAUGGAAUGCCUUCUAAAACAUAACAAGGACCAACCAUACACAAAAUCAAUGCCUCUACACAUUUACAAGAUGCACAAUGAGAUCUAGAAUUUAAAUGAGAUUAGAAUUAGGAUUUAGAGCUAAAAUUUGAGAUGGCUUUGUCCUUCACCAAAAAUAAAGAGAGACCAAGAACUUGGGCAAUCAAACCCUCUUAUACAAGUGAUUGAAGGCUUAUAGAAGGUAGCCACAUCUCUACACCUUUGAUCUCCAAGAUCCUUAAUCUAGAUCUAUGGCCUUCAUUCAUUCAAGAACUAAUUUCAUUAUGAAGGCUAAUGACUAUUGUAAGUGGUCAAAAAAACACUUUUUGAUAAAUCUAACUUCACCAUUGUAUUCAAAACACCUUUUUAUGCUAAGAUCAAUUAUUCACAUGUCUUUAUCCAUGGUCAUAUGUAAUUUUUAUUAAGAUAUUUACCCUCAAAGAUUUGAGCAAUUAUUGAAAACUCCUUCAAAAAUGACAUCUUCAUGGCUCCACUUGUAUUUUGAUAGAGAGGGUGCUGAUCUUGUUUUCUUCACUCCAUGGAAUGAAUCCAAAAUUGAUGUGUUUGCAUUCUAUUAAAACCAAAAUUAAAUUUGUAUGGAUUUUGAAAGAUUUUACAAGUCUAACUUUUUUGAGAUUAAGCCAUGACAUUCAUAAAAAAAAUAAUCACAAAUUUCUAAACUUAAAAUCUAUAAUUUUUUUUUGAGUAUUUCUAAUUAAAAUAUAAUUUAAAAUAAUUUAAGUUCUUUAAAAAAAUAUAGAUAUUAUUAAGAUAUAUAUGCCUUCAAAUAUUCUAGGUGCAAACAAACAUAAUUUCAUAGAUAAGAAUCAAGAAAAUAAUAAUAAUAAUAUAUUAUUAAAAAAAUUAGAAGAAAAAAUAAAAAUAUAAGAUAGAAAUAAAUUAGAAUGGUUUUUAUUAGAUAUAAAGAAGUUAGAGAGCUUUGAAGUAAGAUUAAAAUACAAGAAAGAUGUUGAUAAGUCUAACAAUGGCUUUACUCUUAUCUCCAUACAUACUAGCUACUAAAAAAAAUCUUAUAAAAGCUUCCUAUGGACCAUAAGACUUGUAGCCUAAGCAUAUAAUAAAAAAACUUCAUAAAAUUAAGUAACUUAUGAGACAAGUUUCAAUAGUCAAAUGGCAUCUCUAUAAGAAUUUGAAGAUCUAAUCUAUUUAAGAUAUUUUCUUAAGAUUUCCUAGAAAAGAUAUUAUCUACCUAACAUAUUGCAUCUACUUCUAUUUACAUCAUUAAGUAAUACAAGUAUUUGUUUUAUGCUAUGUUUUUUUAAAUGGAAGUUUAAAAUGAAAAUGAAAAGUAUAAAAAUGACUAAACGAAUAGCAUAGAAAUUUCUAAAGAGAUAUAUAAAAAAAACUAAGAAAAUACCAAAUCUUGAAUUCCUGAUCUUAAAAGACUAAAUAAUGUAUGAAUGAUAAAAGAGAUAAUAGGAAUUAGACACGGAAUAACCAUUAGAUAGAACAUAAGCUUCUUUUAUAUGAAAUUAGUCAUUCACAACAUAGAUGGUGAAAGUGCUCUCUACCAAGGUAGAUAUAAUCUAGUUUAUAAUGAAUUAUUCCAUCAUCUGCUCUAAAAAUGAGCUUUAAAAAUUUUAGGUGCUAUUUAUAUAUACAUAUUUUUUUAGAUAAAAAAUAAAAUUUUGAAGAUGAUUUGUUUUGAAUGUAUAUAUAUAUAUAUAUAUAUAUAUAUAUAUUAAAAAAUAAAUUAUGUUAUGAAUUUUAUUUAAUAUUCUUAUUGGAUGUAUUUAUAUUAAAUUCAUAUCUUCAUGAAAAUAAUGAUAUUAAGGACUUUAAUGUAUUUAUAUUUUCUGUAUUCAUCAUUUUGAAGUCAAUUUACUUAUCAUAAUAACAUAGAACCAAUCAUUAUUUCUUAAGAAAAAAAUUUAAUUUAACAAGUAUAUAUAAAUUACAUAAAACUUUCACAAAAAAGAAAAUCUCAGAAAAUCAAAAUCGAAAAAUAAAAAAUAGAAUAUAUUUAUGCCUUCAAUAAUCUGGAAUUUAAAAUUUAAAAAUAUUUAUUCUACAUUACCUGAAAUUAUAAAUAUUUAUUAUUGAAUUUAUUAAAAAUAAUAUUUUUUUGUUUAAAAAAUAUUUAUAUAAAAGGUAAAACAUAUUAAAAAGCUAAGUAUGGUAUGUACACAUUAAAAACUUGUGAUAAUUGAAAAAUAAAUAAGAAACUCACUAGCUAUGUAAAUAUUUGAUUUUAUAUCUUAAUUGAAAAUAUCGAUGGUGGAUUCAGUUUUCUAAUUUUUAUUGGCCUUUUAGCAUUAAAUGAAGUAAUUUAGAUUUACCUAAAUAAGGUUUUUCAUAGAAUCAGAAGAAAACACAAAUUUUCAGCAUUAGUUACAUUACGUGUUUGUAAAGUGAUACUUUUAUGAUUUAUUAAAAUGUAAAAUAAUUGUUGCUAUUAAAAUUUUUGUAGCAGACGAAUUUCGGGUUUUAAAAAGCUCACUGUCCAAAACAUUUCUCAAUAUAUUCACAUUCAACAUACAUAUAUAUAUAUAUAUAUAUAUAUAUACAUAUAAAUAAAUAUAAUGGUAAGAUUCAAAUUAUAUUUAUUUUUUGACAGAAGUAAUAAAAGGGUUAAUAUUUAAUACUCUUCUUUUAAGAUUUUGGGUAAGAUAUGAUAGAAUUCAGGAGCUUCUGCUAUAGUUGUAGUAUUCAAAACAAAUUUUUUAUAAUGUUAAUGAUAUUUGAAAAAUGUCAAAAAACAAACAAAUUUAGUUUCAAUGUUUUUCAAUAGCUUUCUUCAGUAGCUUCAGGAUAAUCAUAUUAAUUUUUAACUCACAAUACUAUGCCACCCUUGUAUUUAGAUUAUUUAACAUUUUGCAUAUGCAUGUUUAUUAUAUAUAAAUACAAUUUUUUUAAAAAACUAUAUACUAAAAUUUUAAACAUAACAAUUUAUGGAUAUUUAUAAUGUAAUUUAUUCUAAGUAAAAUCCAUUAAUUUAUGACUAAGCAUAAAUAUGUGAAUUAGAAUAAUAUUUUGUGACUUUUUACAAUAUGUUGUAAGUAAUAUUACUAAUAAUAAUUUAUUAAUUCUUAUUGAAUAUAUUAACAUGACUACUAAAUUAUUUUUAAAAUAUAAAAUAUGGAUUAAAAUAAGAUUUCUAAAAAAAGCUUUUAAUAAAGUUAUUUAAGUCUAUUUCUUCUAAGACCAUUUUAAUUUAAACAUUUUGAAUUAAGAUUCCAAUAGAUAUAGUUUAAUAACUCUAAUGAUUCUAUCUUUGUAUCUUCUAUUUUUUACUUCAAGUCCAUUAUUAAACAAACAAAUGGUAUAAAUCCUUGAUAUAUAGCCAUGAUUCUUUAAGCUUAAAGUAAAAAAUCAUGAUUUGAAAUUUAGAAGACUUUUAACAUGUAUAUAUAUAUAGAUGUGUGUGUGUAUGUGUGUGUAUGUGUGUGUAUGUAUGUAUAUGUAUAUAUUGAAUUAAUUAAUUAAAUAUUAAUUAAUUCUAUAAAAUCAUUCUAUCUUUUUUUUUCUCAAUUGAAAUACAAGAAAAUUAGACUUGCAAUAUCUAUACAUAAGUAGCCUUUAAUGACUUUAAUGUCUACUUCAUAUGAUGCAAAAAUGGUUGAGAUUCUAGCCAAAGUUGGAACUUAUAUUUUUGUUGACUUUAGAGAUGGAAAUCACACUUAAUUAGUUUAAAUAGAGUGAUUUAAAUGAGUAAAGCUCAAUGCCUAAGUAACAUUUAUAUUAGAAGUAUGCUGCAAGUAUGCACUUGAUGUUUGAAAAGAAAGAUCUAAGAUUGAUAUUCUUAAUCUUAUAAGUUAUCAGUAAAGACUUGUAAGUGGAUUAAGAUUUUGAGGUCCUUUAGAUUUAGUUUGACAUGGAGGAAGAGUGCCUAUAGUUUGAUUGUAAUUUCCAAUAAAUCCAACAUAUCAAGCUAAAGUUAUUCUUUGAACUUUAUGAGAAAGAGUGUAAAUAUUAGAUCUACUUUUUGAAAUCACAUGUGAAGGAUUUACAUAGAAGUACUUAAUAGUUACAAGUCACUAUAGAUAUCAAUUACUCUAAAUUGACUAUAACAAUAGUAGUAUUUGUUUUUGUGAUAAGUUACUUACACACCUUUCUAUUCAUAAUGUAGAAUAUAAAAUAUAAUUUUAUUACUAUAAGUAACUUAUACAUAUGAAUUUUUAUAUAGAUAAAGAAAAGUUGUAUAGGAUAAAGUAAAUAAAAUCACUUUAUUUCAUAAUCCAACUUAAAAAUUGCAACCAAUAAUAAUAACUUGAUCUAAUUAGGAUUGAUGAUAUAAAUUGUAAGACUCUGGUGUACUUCAAUAUUUCAAUUGAUAUACUUUUGAUUUUACGUAAUAAAGAGUUAUUCGUUUAGAUAUCAUUUUUUACAUGAUAUCAUAGCAAUAUCUGCUUAAGGAGCUUUAAGAGUACAAUUAAGAAGGAGAUCUUUGUAGAUUGUUGAAGAUAUUAAAGGAGCACAAAGUAUCUUAUAAGAACAUUUACAGGAAUUAUUAUCAAUAGUAAAGCCAAACAAGUCUUGAAGAUUAAAUUGUUGCUACAUCUUGUCAAAGAGAUGACUUCCAAAAUACAAGAGAUCAGUCAAUUUAACAUAGGUAGCAUUAGUGUAGUACAAUGGCUGAAAGUAUUUUUGGCAUUGUAAAAUCAAACAAAUUCAAAGAAACUUUCAACUACAAUAUUUUAAAAAUAAAAAUAAGAAAUAUUUUUAAAGACAAAAAAUUAUGACAUUUCAUAUAUCUAAAAGAGUCAAAACUAGUAGUAGAAUUCAAGGAAAUCACAUUAAAGUAAGACAAAGAAAAGAAAGAUAGAGCUUUAACCAUCUUCAUUCUAUUAAUAAAAGACAAUGUACUACAUAACGUUGUAGAUUUUGAAGAACUUGACUUAUACUAAGAGAUAUUGAAAAACAUCUUUAAAGCAUAUAAUGGAGCCAAAGUACUUCAUCUAAGCAACAAGCUAAUAAAAAACAUAAUAAUUGAAGAAUUUAUCAAAAGUAUAAAAGAAUUGAUAAUUCAGCUUUCAAGUGUUAGUAAUGUCAUUUGUGACAAAUGUGUUGUGCAAAUAAUGCUUGAAUUGUUCUCAAAAAGUUUUUUUUUUUUUUUAUUUUUUUUUUUUUAGAAAUUUCAAAAUAUUAAUUAAAAAUGAGACAUGACAAAGGAUUAAAAGCUUUGCUCAAAUAGAAGAGAUGAAUAUACUUUUUAUGCAUUAGAAUGUUUUUUUAUCAACCAUAGAAUAAUACACUAGAAAAUCCAAUUAUACACAUUCCAUUAGAAUAGGGUGGUAGAGCAUAUAAAUCAAACACUAUUGAACAAAGCUAAAAAUAUAUCAUUAAUUCAUAAUAUACUUACAUACUAAUAGAACAAAGUAGUUAAUACAAUAGCAUACUUUAUUAAUAGGUAUCCAAUCAAAAGUAAUAAAAAAAUAAUACAUAAAAUAGAUAUUAUGGUCACAAACUUCAAAAGAAUCCAUGAUUGCAAAAAGUUUUUUGUUGUAGAUCUCAUAGUUUAUUUUGAAUACUGAGAAUUUUUUGGAAUAAAAAUCUAAUGAGUGGAGAUUUACAUCUUUUCCUAUUUGUGACAAAAUAAAAAAAUAGAAAAAUUUGAUGCAUCUUUUUCCAUAAAAGAUGCCUCAAAAAAGUUGACAUAAUAUAAAAUUGGUGUAGAAAUAAAUACUAACUUUAAGGCUUCAAAAGAUGUUUUAGCUUCUUUAUUCUAAUUAAGUUUUUCUUUGCACAUAAGAUAUAUAAAAAGAAUUGCAAUUUGAAAAAAAAAUCUUAAUGAAGAUUUGAUAAUAAUUGACAAAGUCCAAAAAGCAUUAUAUAUCUCUUAUUGUUCUUAAAAUCUUCUAAUCUAUAAUAAUUUGAACCUUCUUUGGAUCCAUUAUAAGUCCUUUGCUUGAAAUGAUAUAUUCUAAGAAGUCAACUUGAGUAGUAUGGAAUAUACACUUUUCUAAUUUGGCAUACAAUCUCGCAUCUCUAAGUUUUUGUAAUACACAAUGAACAUGAAUUUUAUGCUCUUCUAUGUACUUAGAAUAGAUUAAAAUAUUUUCUAAGUAACAGACAACAAAAUCAUCUAAAAACUCACUAAAAAAAAUCAUAUAUAAGAUAUUGAAAAGUAUUUGGUGCAUUUGUAAGUCUAAAAGAUAUGACAUUAUAUUCAAAGUAUCUAUACCUUAUUCAAAAUGUAGUCUUUUAUUCAUCUCCUUCUUUAAAGCAGACCAAAUUGUAUGCUCUUUAAAGAUCUAUUUCUAUAUAGAUCUUAGCUUGAUUUAAUUAAUCAAGAAGUCCAGAUAUCAAAGAUAGAAGGUACCUAUUCUUGAUGAUAAUCUUGUUGAGUCUUUGACAAUCUAUACACAUUCACAAUGAUCUAUCUUUUUUCUUCACAAAUAAGAUAGGAGCUCUUGCAAGAGAUUUCAAAUAGUGUAUGAAAUUCUAGGCCAAGUUCUUGUCAAUGUACUUCUUGAAUUCACCUAAUUCAUUCUAUAAUAAAUUAUAGAUUGGAUCAAAUAGUCAUUGACUUUCUUCUUUAAGAUUGAUUGAGCAAUCAAAUGGACAAUACUUUGGAAGAAUAUCUACACUCUUCUUCUCAAAAAUAUCUUUAAAAUCUUAAUAUUGACUUAGAAUGCUACUUAAAGUUUUUCCAUCAUUAAAAAUAGAUGUGAUAUAAAUAAUAAAAGGCAAUCCUUCUUUUGCAACAUGCAAGAAAGUUUUUAUACCUACAAGUAUGAGUUUGGCUAUACUAGACUUAUAGCUUUCUACAAAACUCUUAAUAAUGCUCUGAAAAAAGUUAAGUUUAUGAAAAAUCCAAUGUAUUAGAAGAUUAUAUUUUUUAGCUACAAUAAACCUAAAAUGAUUAGAUUAGAGAGAGACCUAAUUAUAUUAAAAAUUAUGCAACUAUUAUGACCAUUUAUUGCUACAUUUAUAAGAAGUAUUUUAUGAAUAAUAUCUCCAAAAGAUAACAAAUGGCCAUCUAUGACUUCUAUGUGUAUAAGUUUAGUUUUUUGUAUUAACAAUAUUCUAUAGCUUUUAACAAACUCUUCAUCUAAAAAACAAGUUGAGGCUCUUAAAUCUAUCAAGGCAAAGGCUUUGUGGUUAUUAGGUCCUAAAUACACAUCUAUUAUAAUACAAAAAAAGGAUUCUGAAGAAAAGAUAUGACCUUUAUUUGUAAAAGAUUCCAGCCGCACAAUUCCUAUUGUAGCUAGGCAAAUUUGUUUUUCAAAAUUUUUUCAUCUUUGAUAAUCAUAAUUCUCAUUUUGUAGUUGCAUUGUUUCUUUGGACAAUGUUAAGCAGUGUGCUUAGCUUUUUCACAAUAUAAACAUAAUCCUUCUUGACGACGAUAAGUCUUUUUUUGUUCAAUAAGAAAUUUAAAAUAUGUUGCAUCAAUUUGCAUGUCUUUUAUCUUCAAAUGUUUAGAUUGAGAGGUUAUCGAUGUUGCCAUUAAAUUAUAAUAACAUGGAGAUUCUCUUGCAUGAUUCUAAGAUUGAAACUCAAAAAGUCGAUUGUCACACUUCACAGCAAAGUCAAUUGCUUGACUCAAUAUCUAAGGAUCAGAUAAGUUGAGCAUCAAUUUCUUUACUUCAUAUUGUAAUCUAUAAAAAAAUUAGUUGAUAAAGGCAACAUCAUCCCACUUAACAUCAAUUUCUAAUUGUCAAAAUUAUAAAGCAUAUCAUAUCACUGAUUGAUUGUCUUAUUAUAAGAUACAAAUCUUAUUGGUUUCAACACAAAUUACAUCAUGUUCUUCAUAUGUAGAUCAAAAUUCCAUCAAAAAAAGCCUAUAAAUUAUCCAAUAUUAGAUCUUAUUGUUGAAGAAAAUAUGAAAAUAAUAAUAAUACCAAAAUUGAAAGAAAUAUAUCAAUGAAUUUAACUUGUGGUCCUCACAUUGGAUAGUUUUGAGAUUGAAGUUCAAUUACAAGUUGUAUUUGAUUGAUAAACCAUAAUUAAAUGAUGUUCUACUAUAGAAGAAAGAAUGUGAUUUGAUUUAGAUGUUGAAGUGGCUCCAAUCAUGUCUGUAUCUUCACUUCCUAUAAUUUUUGUUGUUCUUAGUGGCUAUAAACUGAGUUGAUGCAUGAAAAGUAUUAAUAUUCUCAAUUGCUCUUGUAUUUGUAUUAUUGUACUCUUUAUUUUAAGAAGCUCUGCCAUGAUAACACUUAGAAAAAAAAAUUCUAAUAUCACUCAAAACAAGCAAAAGAGAGGACUUGAAAACAAAAAAAAUAUUAAAAAUAAUAUUAGUUUAGAAUAAGAUAAUCUACAACUUCUAAUACGCUUAUGUCUUAUGAAGAAAAAAAAGAUAAUUUACUCUUAGUCAAGAAAAGAUAAAUUUCUAAUAUUAUAACUGUACUCUUGUCAAUUUGUCAAGGAUAUGAAUUAAAAAAAGAUGUAUAAACCUAUGAAAUUCACAUCAAAAGAAAAAUGAAAAAAUAAAGAUAACGAAGUAUGUAUAUUAAAAGAAAACUAAAAUGGCUAUUGCCAAAUGAUAAAAAAAACUAAAGAUUCUUGAAUUUAAACCAAAAAUAAAAAAUAAAAAUUGAAAAGAGUAAAGAAGGCUUCACUCUUGCGUCUAUAUAUAUUAUCUACCUAAGAUCUAUGUGGCGACAUUCUAUAAGACCUCUAAAAACAUGUUGACUUUGCAUGAUACAUAUCUUCACUUGCAAGGAAAAUUUUCUAUAUAAGCACCACACAAUUAGCUUAUUCCACAAGCUACUAACAUAUGUGGCACAUGAUUAACUUGUUGACUAAGUUUCUAACUAAUUAACUAUAAAUACAUGUAAAGUCAAAAUAGCAUCUGAAAACUUCUUGGAAGCUUCUUUAGAAGAUAUUAUGAAAUUAACUUGCUUCUGUCUAUUCAUAUUGCUUAAAUAACAAAUACAAUAGAUAUAUAUAUCCAUGAUAAGAUGUCAUCUUUAAUGAAAAGAUAUUAGAAUUAAAGCAUAUUGUACCAACAAAACUUAGAAUAUUAUAUGCAAAAAUAUUAUUGGAUAGUAAAAAAAGAAUUCUAAUUAAUUUUAAUUUAAGAUAUAAUUAUGAUGAAUCUAAAGUAAUUGUUGAUAUCUUAUUGCCACUCAACACCUCUACAUUCCAACCUUGUUCUGAUAGAACAUCAUCAAUAUUAGCCAUAAAAAAUAAUAUUGUUGCAAUAUCAUUACUAAUUAUCUAAUAAUCAAUACAACUUAGAUUCUUAAUAUUCCAAUAUGAAGACUACAUUUACAUCAUAGAUCUCAAAGUUCCAACAUCAACUGAAGAAGGAAGAUAAUACUCCAAAUGAAUAAGAACAAUAGACAAUGAACUUGUAUCAAUACAAAAGAAUGACAUUAGAGAAAUAGUAAUACUAUUGCAAGAUAAGACACCAAUCACAUCAAAAUGUGUAUUUAAAACCGAACUUACUAUUGAUGACAAGAUUAAAAAAUUAAGGGCAAAACUAAUUGAUCAAGGGUUUGAGCAAAAAGAAAGAAUGGACUACCAAGUUGGCAAGGUUGAUAAAUUAAAGGCAAGACUAGUCAUUCAAGGAUUUGAGUAAAAAAAUAAAAAAAAAAGUGGAGUACUAAGACACUCCAACUCUGAAAUGGCUGACAUUCAAAGUUGUAGUUACCAUUACUAUAAAAAUCAGUUGGUCUAUCAAGCACCUCAACAACCAAACUAGAUUUUUAAAUGGUGAUCUUAAUAAAGAGGUGUAUAUGGAAAUAUCCCAAUGACUACUUCUCUCUUCUAAGGACCAAGAGAAAGUUUGUUUAUUCAAAAAACAGAUUUAUGGAUUAAAGCAAGUCAACAAAACAUGGUAUAUUAAAAUUUGUCUAUUUCUUAUAGAUUUUGCUCUUACUUACUAGGAGCAAUGCCGAUCAUAAUCCAUAUUUGUGUAAAGGAGAAGAUUUUAUGUUAAUAGUAUUGAUUUAGGUUUAAAGAAAUUAUGCAAACAAUUUGCCGGAAAAGUUUGGAAUGCUGGAUUGUGCUCCCGCAGCCACCCCAACGGAAGAAGGCAUUCGACUUUUCCGCAGCAUGGAUGCUAAACCCACUGACACUACAAACUACCAAAGCCUUGUUGGAAGUUUAAUAUAUCUUAUAUAUACAAGGCUGAAUACUUCAUAUGCUGUCAGCCACCUCAGUUGGUUUAUGAGGGCACCACAACAACCACAUUUGGCAGCAGCCACACCAGUGCUUUGCUACAUCAAACCCACAAUUAAAUAGAGUACAUUCAUAUUAGUUGAAUCCAAUGCAACAUUGACAUGAUUUGUAGACUUUGACUGAAGUAGAGGCCUAGACAAAAGAAAAUCUACAAUUGGCAUGAUUUUCAAAAUUGGAGACACUAAUACACUUGAAUAGUAUACUCCAGCCUACAAUUGCCGUUUUAACCACUGAAGCGUUAUCCGAUGGAGCAAAAGAAUUUACAUGGAUUAGAAUACUUUUAAUUGAGCUAGGACAGCAAAUGAGGGAACCCACAACUAUGUUUUUGUGAUAAUCAGAGUUUCAUUAAGUUAGUCAAGAGUCCGGUAUUACAUGCGCUAACAAAACAUAUUAAGCUAUAGCACCACUACAUAAGGAAACGCAUAGAAGACAAUUAAAUUAAGGUGUACUAUACACAUACAAAUGAGCAGCAGGAGGAUUUGUUCAUGAAACCACUUAGAAAAGUGCAAUUUCAGCAGAUGAGAUAUAAAAUUGGAAUUUAUGACAUUGACGAGCUCUGAAAGAGGACCUCACCAAAUCACCUACUCCAACUAUGAAACAUGUUUUCUUUUUUCCUUCCUCCUAUUUUUCCUGGGAUUUUCUUUUCCCCACUAGAGACCUUGUUUGGAGUAAGAGAACUCCCGGUCUCAAAAUUACUUAUAUCCUCAUCUAGCAUAAUACAAUAUCUUCUAAGCUCCAUCCUAUAGUGUGGAACUAUAGAAAGGGGCAUUUCAUUCACAACAUGUCUACAAUAAUACAAAUAGCCUUCCUUAUCAAGUUUUAGAAAUACUACGACUUGCCAAUCCAGUGAAGAAUCAACCAGAUGACGCCAUGCUUGAGAAAUCAACCUCAGUCGAAAGAAGGUGAAAGGAGAUUCAUAUGCUGCGAGCUUUGGCCAUACGAGAGCACACACAACCUUAUUUGAAAGACCAGGCACCGAAUCACUCAUCAACACAAUCGGAUAAGGUACUUCCACCUAAGAAAUGCUUCCCAAGUUGACAAGAGUUGUAUCCCCUAAGCUUCGACAUUGCUCCUCAAACCAACGGCAGAUUGAGUUGCAGCAGCGCUGAAGAAAGGAGAACACGAACCAAACUGAGGAAAAGAGACUGUAGGUGCACAAAUGAAGCAAAACAUGCGUCAAUUUAAAGGGAAGACAAAGGAAAGAAGGGCAGGGGGCGCGAAAAACUCAAUCAUUACGAGGCUCAGCGCUCACCAUAUUGAGUUGAUGGAAUUGAUAAAACAUCGCCAACAUCGUCCGCUCACCGACAACCGCCCGCAAAUCCACCAUUCUGACACUUCAUAUUCGACAGAAUGGACAAGAGAAUCAUAAUGUGUAAGAGAGGAUGUUGCGACAAGUCACAUAUACACCUUUCUAUUCACGACGUAAGACAUAAAGUAUAAUUUUAUUACCAUAGGUAUAUUGCCACUUGUACAUACAAACUUUUUGGCGGAUAAAGAGGAGCCGCAUAGGAUAAAGUGAUUAAAAUCACUUUAUUCCAUAAUCCAACUUGAGAACUACAACCAUAAGGGUAACUUGUUCUAAUUAGCAUCGACAAUAUCUCGAUUGUUACACUCUUAGUUCUGCAUAGUAAAGAACUAUCUUUCUACAAAUCAUUUCGUGUGUGAGCGUGUUCUCUUUUUUCUGUCUGUACAGAACUGUGAGUCAUCAAGUGUGAAGAACUGCAUCGUAAGCUCUGAAGGAAAACGUGCGAAAUUGAGUGGUUCUACCCAUGCGAGGACUUGAACUCAUUCACCUCCAUCUUCAAUCAACACCAAAUGAAUCGUCGAGAACCUGAAGUUGAAGUAAACGAGUUCAUGCUCAUUCUGAAGCACUUGUCAUCUCUAUCUUACCAAUAGUCUACAUUCACUUCUGUGUAAUGGCUCGGAUUGGCUGACACGGUAGUCGGAGGUUAUCGUAUUAAGACAGUCGGCUACUUGGAGACCUCCAAUAUGUUCAUUAGAAACUCGAACAUUCAUGUAAACUCUACGUCUACUGUAGGUUUUGGAGAUCGCAUCAGAUCAAGAGAGAGAGCCAAACGAAGGCCCAGAUCAUGUACAUGACCGGCAGACUAAAUAAGUAAACAUCUACAAGGAUGAGCUACAUCCAUGGAUGAGUGGUACUGUUACAAGGGUUUGACCCAUUCCAACAUCUACAAGGUUUGGUCGUGUUCAAGUUCGUUCCAACAGGGCGACGUAAACUGGUCGCGAUUCGUGGCUCAAUAGCAAUAGGAAGAAACCACCACGGACAUAACUAGAGGGUAGCCGGCUGAAUUUGUACCCUACUCAGUUCAUUGCACAUGACGGUUUCUCCGAGCGCAUGAGAUUCGCUUAUUACAGCAAGAGUUCAACGAUCAUGCAAACAAUUGCCGAAAUACACCAACCAGAGGAGUAGGUAGAAGCACAGCGUUUGGGAGUUUCUCACGAUUACAUCUCACUUGGAUCAAACGAUUGUUUUAGUUAUGCACAAAUCUUCAUUCGGGGCUGAAAUUUCCAUUGCUUAAAUAGAUAAAACAGAGUCCCUCAGGUCCUUUACACUCCAUUGACGUACCCAAGUGAGAGAAAUCGUGCUCCAGACCUACACUCAACACAACACCACCCAGUAAAUCCACUUCUGCCAUCGAACUCAGGCAGUUCCACUCACUCGACGACUUCAAUCAAACAAACUGUCGUCAGUGGACUCUUGUUCAACAAAGACAUCGUUGAUGCCAGGGAUCCUCUCCAACUCGCACAAUUGUCAUAAGCACACACACCGAGAAACUAACACAGACCUUCAUGCAAAUGGUCAUGACAACAACAACAACGACAUACGAAGUAUACAAAAACAUAAAAUCAACAAAAACAACGUGGACUCUCUACGGCCAACUAGUUAGGAACACUGUGGAAUCUAAGCAGUGAUGCUGAAGUGAUGUAAAAAUCUUGCAUCGGUGAUAAAGCAUUAAAUUUCAUGGACGUGAAGAUCACCGAGUCUCAGAUCAUGCGCGUCUGAUCAGAUCCUCGGCGUCGCUGAAGGGCGGUGACGGUGGCGGCGCCGCCAGAGUUUGUAACUGACUGUGUUAAGAGGACCGAAAGUUUAGCGUUGAGCUAUCAUAUAAAUGAUUCACACAACCUCUCACCCAUUCUCUUAAUCAUGAUAAUCUUACAAUAAUACGGUGGUAGUUUAACUACAACAACAACAAUCAUGAUGUUCAUAAAUGUAGUUGUUGUCAUCCAAACGAAAAACUGCUUGUUUUAGAAUUUUAGUCUCUGUUAUUGUUGUUGUUGGUACUUUCUACCCACUUUUAACAUUGUAUGGAAACCUCCUAAUGGACAUGAAAUCUUCCAAUUAAAGUCACCAAAUCUAAAAUGUCUUGUGCUAGAUCGUGAUUUGAAAUGCAGUUUUCAUUCAAUUUUUGUUACGAAGUCCUCUGUGAUUCUAGAACUUCGCUUGAAUGAGUGAGUGCGCUCAAAGUUAGGAAAUAUAAUGGCUCAAAUUUUUUGUAUCAUUUUGAGGCUUGUUAGAGAAAUUUGACAAUGGUUUUGGUGUGCAUUAAUCUAUAUUAUAGCUAUAACUACAACUAUUACUUAAUGUUUUCUGUUGUUGAAAUUGUUUCUUAUUUUAAGAUUUGACUCUUUCUUUUUCGUUGACUCUAAAAACUGCUUGUGUAAAAUUACAUGUAAUUUGUAUAUCUCAUUAAAAAUAUAUGUUCAGACAAACUGCUGAUUUAUUUAGAUGUGGAGGACUUUAUAUAAUAAAUACCAGUGUUGAAAAACAAAUGUACAAUUGCCCAAUCUACAGUAUUUUUAUGUGUUUUCAUUCGGCAAAAGAAAUUAUAUCUUUUUAUUUUAGUAUUAUUUUGUAUUUCUGACGCACUUUCUUUUUUAGAAAUUAAGAACACAUCUUAAUAUCUUGUUGUUUCCUUACAAGUUUUUUUCAAAAGAAAAUGUCUUUGUUUUUGGAACUUGAAUAUUUUGUUGCUCUUUUAUUGUUGAUUUUGUAUAAUAAGCUAUAAGUUGUCAUCUAAUGUAAAAGCAUAAACAAUAUUAUUAUUAGUAAGUGACAUCACAAAAUGAUUUAAAAUCUAACUAUUUUUUUGAAAAAAAUAAUUCAUUACUAUUAGCUUAUCAAUAUGUAACUAAAAAAUAUAUAAUUAAAAAUUUAUAUAAAACUGAAAAUAAACAAAAAAAAAAUUGAAUCUUGAAUUACAUAUUUCUAUAGAAAAAGAAAAAAAGAAUAUAUAUAUAUAUAUAUAUAUAUAUAACUUUCUUUUUAACAUUGAAAGCUACUUAAAACUAGUGAAAAAAGAAAAAAAAGAAAAAUACAAGAACAUGAAGUCCUCAUUCUUCUUUUUUUUCAAAUUCAUGACUAUUCAGAAGUAAUAAUAAAUUAAUUAAUCAAUACAAGUUGAGUUGCAUGAACUUUUGAAGAGGUUCAAAACUUUUCUUGGAGAAGCAAGAUAUAAGUAGUCCAAUAUCUGAAAUAAUUUAAUUUAAAAUAAAAAUAAAAUAAAAUAAAACCGCUAACACUAAUAAUCGUGUGAUUUUAUGUCUCAUCUGAAAACAUUAUAAAAUACUACUUAUUUCUUAAUAACUAUUGCUACAAUACUUAAUAUAAAAACUAUGAACACAGUAAGAUUAGUGCAGCACAAAGAUAGAAGAACUUGCAUUAAGAAAGAUUGUGGGUUGUACAAGGACUACUUUCUCUUCUUUUAACACUAUGUACAUUAUCCUAAAUUAAUUAUAUCAACUGAUCGUUAUUACUAUCACAUUAAAAAGAAAGGCAAAAAAUAAAAAAAAUAAAAAAAGGAAAAAAAAAGAAGUAAGUGUUCACAUUAUUUUGAAUACUUUGAAGGAGAUCAAGACAUUUAAGAUGUGUACUGAAAAUUGAUUGUACAUUAACAUUAGAGGAACACAAAUAACAUGGGUCCAGAGCCAUCCUUUCAUCCAUCCAUCCAUCCAUCCAUAGUUUCAUAUCUUCAUUCAUCCAAGUCUUGUAGCAUGGAAAAUACAAGGUCAUGGAGCACAUCAAAAGAUCAAAGGGCUCCAUUAUUGGAACCCUUUAGAGAAAGAGAAAGCUACCAUUCAUUCGUCUAUUAAUUCAUUCACUCAUAUGUUCAUUCAUUCAUUUAUUCAUCCAUCCACCUGUCCCUCUUGUCUACAUUAGACUUCAGUUCCCCUUUUUGCAUUAUUUUACGGUUUUUUUGACAAUUUUUUACUCUACUAUUUUUUUUUUCUUCUAAUUCUUGCUACUUUUUAAUGAUUUUGUAACGAGUAGAAUUAUUCUUUCCUUUUUGAGGAAAUGGUGCUAAAAUGAUUUUAUAGUGUAAUCAAAUGAGUUUGGCAAUAUGGAUAAGAGUAGAGAUGUGGUAGCUUUAUGGUGCAAGAAAACUUUUUUUAUUUUUUAUUCUUUACUCUUUAAAUAAUAAACUAAAUUGGGUAUGCCCAGUCCAGAGUAUUGUUUUCUUUGAUUAAAUACAUGUAUAAUAAAUUACAGAAUUUAAUCUUAUAUUUCACAUUUCUAAUUCAGAUGGAAUGAAACCAACAUUGCAACGUUUCUAUCAAUUUUAACUGUGAUGUUUGUUGCAUGAGAUUCCUUGAAAAAGAAAAAAACCAAUAAAAUAUUGGUUGAGGAUAUUUUUAAAUUUUUUCAGAAAACUUAGAAUAAAUAUUUAAAAAGCAAUUAAAACUAACAACAUAUGUAUUUAAAUUUAUUAAAAUUAUCAUUUCUUACAAAUUUGAUUGUUAUUGUUUUUUUUUCCAUUAUAGAAAAUAGAUCUAAAUUUUAAAUCAAUUAUUGGCUUGACAAUUGAGUAUGACUUGAGUAAAAUUAUUCAAAAACAACACAUAGAUAUAAAUAAACCAAAAUUUUAACCUCAACCAACAUUGCCAAGUCUAAAGCAUUGUAAUGUCAGUUAUUUUUGUACAAAAAGCUUCAAGUGCAACUGUACAGGAUGUUGAAAAUGAUAAGUUUUAAUGAAAUUGUACACAACAUUGAAAUUUCCAAACCUCAAGUGUGGUUGUUGAAAUUCCUAAGCUUCAUUUUUUGAAUGUCCUUAAGAUAUUGAAAGCUGAUAAAAAUAGAAGUAAUUUUUAUAAUUAGUGCUCAUGAACAAUAAUUACAAACUAUUAUAUUUAUCUUUAUAAACUUGUUCUUUCAACAAAGAUGAAACGCAGCCUAUAUUGAAAGUAAUAUAUAUGAAAUAAUAUAAAAUAUAUGUUUUUAUAUUUAGCCUAUAUAUAAAAUAAAUGUAUAUUUUUAACAAUAUGAUUGUUUUUACAAUUUUUAUGUAAAAACCCAUUAUUGAAGUUUGUAUGAUUUUUAAAAAUUAACGGGUUGUAAAAUAUAGUAACAAAAUAAAUUGAUAAAAAUGUCAUUACUGUGUGACAUGUUGAUUUUUUUUUAAUAAAGAUUUAUAACAACAUAGUCAAAGGCUUUCUUUGUGUCAUGACCCAUCGCCGCCAUGCAACCUCGUCGACUUUGACUCACACUCAUUCACACUCUCUCUUUCUCAUACACACCAGCAUGCAUACAAAAAGCUUACUCACAGAUCGAGGGGGACGGAGGAUGAAGGAACAAGGAAGAAAAAAAUAAUAAUUAAAAUAAAAUAAAAUGAGGAAGGACAAGGUGCAAGGUCUGCUCUGGCAGUUCCGCAGUGGGUGCGGUGCCGCGGAGGAGAGCCACAGCCGAUAUCGUGCGAGCUGAGGAAUCCAUAGUCGAAGCAGCAACAGCAACAGAAGCCCAAUCAGCGGCAGGAGCAGAAGAAGAAAGCAUCAGUCAACAGGCUGCUAUGAUGUAAGAGCCGGUUGCACUGAUUCCAACGCUGCCAAGAGAGAGAGAGAGAGAGAGAGAGAGAGAUAGAUAAACAGAACAAGAAGAAAUGAGGAAAUGGGAAACUAGAGGAAAAAGAAAAAUAGAAGAAGAAAAGAAAAAUGAGCACGGAUCUCCAGCACACACACACACACACGCACACACCCUUUUGUGCGGUCAAUGCGACUUCAGGGUAUGAUACUCCCACGUACUCGUGAGAUUUUCAUCGGUUCCUGGUGGAAUCGCUCAUUUCAAGCAACGGGAGGUAGUAGUCUUCCCAGUAGGGCGUGACCCACUUUCCAGGUGAGGCCAUGCUAUGCAGCUCACGGCAUCUGCUACGGAUUUCGUCAGCUGCUGAUCCGUCGCGGCAGCCCACACCGCAUUGACUACGCCCUCCCAUCAGUGCAAGUCAAUGAGAUAUGUGUGUUUGUGUGAAUGUGUAUGUGUGUGGAUUGGCAACCAUGGUGAUGGAUUCGAUCACCGCUUAGAUCACCACAUAGGCUCCCGCAGAGCAGUCGCGUACAGUGUUGCCUUUCUGUUGUCCACCGUCUUUACGUGAGCUUUUCGUUGGCAGGCAGGGACAUUUUGCAGCUAGGUAGCUAGCCGGCCCGAAGGCUCAGAAUUGUCACCCUGAUGAUCUCAGUUUCGCAUUCCAAAAUUAUUUACACGUAAAAAAUAAAAAUCGAAUUGUAGAACUAGUUAAAUUUUACAUUAGUAGAAAGUUUUUUCCUAACAAAAGUCCAUAACCCAUUGCGGGUUGGCUUUAAAACUAUUGGAUUGAGUAUCGUACAUGACUCAGUGUUUCAAAAGAUAGAAUUACAUGAAUUUCGCGAGAAAUUGAAAGCCGAACUUGUCAAGUGAUUUAUUAAUAUAUAAAUUAUGCACCUUUGAUAUCUCACCGAAAAUGACAACUGGGUAUGCCAAUAACCCAAUCGUCUUGCACAAUUUUCCUCCUUCAACGUUUGAAAAUGGAAGCCAAUCACUCGGUUCGCCGAAAAAUAAGAAUACAUGUUCAUAUAUAUAUAUAUAUAUACAUAUAUACAUAAAUAAAUGUGCGCGCCUCUGCCGAGACGCAUGUGUGGAGUCCAGAUCAUCCACCACGGCAAGCGAAAUACGUGGAAUGGUGGGCAUUAAGUUUAUACAGUAUGAGUUGACUCAGCUGGGUGCCUGUCAAUAACAGAGAGAGUAUAUGAUUUCGUUACUCUGCCAUUCACUGACUCAUCUCCUCCUUCAGCCUUCAUCUUCUCCACCUCGCGGACUAUUCCUGACCCUCUCGGUAGGCGCGUAUUUAUUCAACACAACGGAAGCCUAGAUUUCUUGACACGCAGGAAGCACUGUUGUGAAUCAUGUCGCAAUCGCUGUAGAGUUUCGACAUUGUGAAGCUGGUGUGGAUGAGAUUGAGGCGGUCGAGUGCUGCAGCUCUAGACAAGGGAGAAUUGGUCUGGGUAUGGACCGGAAAGAACAUGGUUGGGUGCUCGGUGUUGCUGGAAGCGUCAGGAUUGGUUGCAAGAGCGGCGAGGGACGACUGAUAUAAAGGAGGGGAAUUGGAGCUUAGAUGCUGUGAAAGAGGAAGAGUGUGUGAAAGAGGAAGUGUGUAGGAAUUAGAAGUACAUGGGAUUAGAUAUGGCGCUUGGCUCUAGCCUGCAGGUGCAGGAGAGGACGCAACUGAAGCUGCAGCUUCCGCACCAGGUGAUCGUCCCGGCGUUUUUUCUGUGCCCCAUAUCGCUGGAGCUGAUGCGGGAUCCCGUGACGUUAUGCACAGGAAUGACGUUCGACCGCGCCAGCAUAGAGCGGUGGCUGGGACUCGGGCACAACACGUGCCCUGCGACUAAUCAGAUUCUCGAGAGCCAGGAGCUCAUUCCAAAUCAUACUCUUCGACGUCUCAUUCAGAACUGGUGUGUUGCCAAUAAGGCUUACGGCGUGGAGCGAAUCCCAACUCCGAAAGCGCCGGCGGAGCCAGGCGACGUGAAGCAGUUGCUCGAAGGCAUCGGUCAAUGUGAGGAGGUGGGGUGUGAUUCCUUGAAGAAUCUGUGGAGUUUAGCGAAAGAGUGUGAGCGCAACAGGAGGUGCAUUGAGAAAGUGGGGGCGGUCCCCAUUCUCGCUAAGGCUUUGGCCCAACUAUGGGUGGGCAUGCGCUACUCUGCGGGUUGCAACAGGGGUCGGGAGGUAGCUUGUGAAGAGGCAUUGGCCACAAUCGCGCUGCUUCAGCUUGACGAUGGCGACAGGAGGGCUCUGGUUGCUCCAGAGUCACUCGAGUGUUUGGUAUUUCUCCUCACGUCCGGAAGUCUGGACGCGAAGUUAAACGCGGCCGACGUUAUUCAUACUUUGUGUGAGGAGGAUCCUCAUGUGAAAACUGCCGUGGCUAGCCUCCCUGGAGCCAUGAAAGGGCUUGUAAACCUCCUCAAGGAUGAUUUGUGUCCAAGAGCAGUCCAGGCAGGUUUGCGGUGCUUGUUGUGUGUCUGCCUUCCCCGAAGUAACCGUGUCAUGGCCAUUGAGUGUCGAGCUAUAAGCGUUGUGGUGGAGCUUUUGCCGAACACCGAGAAGAGAACCAAGGAGCUGGCAUUCGCGGUUAUGGAGAUUCUCGCUAACUGCGCCGAAGGUCGGGAGGCGAUCUCCAACCACGCCCUGGCCAUCCCCAUGAUAGUCAAAUCAAUGUUGGGCGUCUCGCAACGCGUUACGGAAUGCGCUGUGUCGACCUUGUGGGUCGUUCUUUCCUACGCCUCCAACCGAAGUGUUACAAAUACGGCGUUGCAAGCAGGAGCAUUCGCCAAUCUGCUCAUGUUACUGCCUGGCGAGUGCAGCCAGCGCGCGAAGCACAAAGCCCGGGACAGCUUGAGGCUCCUCAACGAGAACUGGGGUAGCUACACUUGCAGACCCGCCGACGAAGCUCGCAUCAUCAACAAGCGAGACUUGGGUCAGCUGCGAUUUAAGACCGAUCUAGUGUAAAUUUUUAGUGCCACCUUUUUUCAGGUUCCAGGAGACAAAUGUAGCUCCAGUUCAUUUGUUCGAAGACCAAGUGAUUGCACAUCUUGGAGCGCCACGUUACUGUUAUUCUUUUAGGGCGCUGUGAUUACCGCGACCUUCACCAGAUUGUAUAGCUGUAGAACAUUAAAUUGAUGGAAAAAUUAAAAAAUGGAAAAAAGAAACGGCCUUUCUGACUCCUUCCAGAACUGGAUUCGUUUUUUUUCUUUUCUUUUCAUUAACCGGCAGGAUCGAUGUUGGGGUUUUUGCAUUCAUGAGACAAAAAUUUGCCAUGUCCCAUUCACAAAUACACUUCAGGUCGUUAAUUCCACUGCUUGAAGUUUUCAUAAACAUAGGUCUGACUAUAACUGGCCGCCAUCUCUUUAGCCAUGCAAUUUUCCAGGCUUUGAUUGACGCUAAGUCGCUUAGACCUUCGUGUCACCCAUCUCUGCGACAGUUUCAAUAGUUGCCUGCUCCGAGCAACUUGUUUCAUCGCCGACAGGAGGUUGCUUCAUUCUUCGUCCUUCGCCAGACGGAUCUGAAGCUGCGUCUCAAUGUCCGGACCCACCCCCCCUUCCAGGAUUGCGGGAAUUAAUCUCCUAUCAAACCAUCCAAGAGUUUGGAUAAUCUAUUCAGAGGGUGGACUGCGAGUGCAAACGAUACCGUCUGAGCGAUACCAGCUCACACGAUGCCAUCACCUGAGCGAUCGUGUUGACUCAAGCCGAGAUUGCACGGCUCCAAACACUUAACCUUUUAAAUGCCCUGCGUUGAUAAUGUGAGAGAGUUGAUUAUUCGAUUUCAGCUGCCAUUAAAUUCACCUCCCAAGCCACGCUCACUGUUGAAUUGCUGCACCUGUGGAAGCAUUCGAACUCUCACGUGAGCUUGCUCCAGUUAGGUUACUUCUUCGUGGUUGAAUGCCUCAUCGUCUGUGCAACCCUGAUGGCGCAGCUGUUCGGGGCUCAUGAAGACGGGACAUGGAUGCAAAUUAUUGAACUGAGGAUGUGGUUUUUCAACGUCUGUCAGGGAAAUUCAACCAGACUGUUUCCUUGACGUGCAAGCCCCUCGAGGCAUUUGAGGGUAUUCCACCCGCUCAACAGAUGCUGUGUCGCUGUGCGGGCUCUGCUGUGAUGCAGUAGCCUGCAGCCGAUGGAUGAUUUCGUCACUUUCUUCUAAUCUGACUGCUCAGUCUGCAGCCAAGGUGAAAAGUCGUGAUGGAUUGCGGAGCGUAGCGGCCCGAAGUUUACAUCGAAACAUACAUCUACGAUCUCCUACAGUGAGAUGAGUCCCAGUUCAAUUAUCCAGCGUACACCGGCCAAAAUGGAUUGUACUCUUAAGCAUACGAAAGCAAAUGAGUGCCGCCUGUACUUCUACAAAGCAGGUCAAACCUAAUCAAGUUGUCACCUUUCACGUUGAAAAACACUGUAAAACCAGGCCAGUGGAAUUGUCUGCACAUGAUUUGACAUCACAUUAUCAUGCCAAUGCCGAGCGCAGGUUGACCCUCAGUGGAGUGAGUGAAUUACCUUGAAGUCACUCACAACCCAUCAUAAGAUUGCUGCAGGGCAUGAGUUAUGGUUGGGAGACAACUGCCAUUGAUGAUUGUCGAACCAAUGUCCAUGGCUACGAUGCAGGCAGCCUGGCAAUUCCUAAUAAGUUCAAUGCUCAUCCCCACUGUUGAGCACUCCUCACAUGAUUUUUACGCUGCCACCUACUUGUCGAUCUCAUUACUGCUGCCAUAGGGGGGUACACUGUCUUUACAGUGGGGUAUUGAUCGCUUGCUGGUGGUGGCAUGCCGGAGGGUGUCACGAGCAUGUGGGGACGUAUCAUGACGCUGGCGGAGUUGCUAACUUCCCUUGCCCCCUGUUUGUAGCCAUUUCGUGCAGCAUCCGAUUAAUGCCGAUAUCAAGACCAACGCAGCGCAUUAGGUCGGGGUGAAUAGUGAGCUAGGCGUGAUUGGUUUCCUGCAAUCAAGUGAUCACUCCACUGAUGAGCAGCCCUGCUUGACUUUAACCCCAACUUAAGGCCUGUCAAGGGUGUGAGGAGCAUUCCCCACCCUACAUCACUGCCACUGCCAGGCGUGGUACCACGUACAACCCCAACCAGGUCAAAACAUCAAUCACCCAGUAUGGGUCAAUAGCCAGGUCUACUCAUAAUGGAGCUCAGGGAACAGGAGAGACGGUAAGCUUUCAUUCUCCUGAGGUUUUAUUACACAGACUCCAUGACACUGCUGAUCGCGUCAGGCUGGCGAGUAACAACAGCCCUGGCCCCUAGCCAGUCGUAUUUCGCAGACAAGACAGACGACGCGACAGCGGAUUCCAACACCGGAUCGAUCCGGCGGGUGAGUGGCCAAGUCAACAGCCUGCCUGCCUGCUCUUCACCCACCGUAAUCGUUUGCCUCCUCUUGCAUUCUCGCUCCCCCUCCACAAUCGCGAUUGACUUGCGGUGCCUGCUAUCUGCGAGUGGCCAUCACCACGAUUGCCUUGUCUCGAGGGUGUGGUGGCUCUCGGUGUGAUCCUGCAGCAGUAAUGGCCCUCCUGCAUUCUGUUCCUUCAUUCACCCGCCUUCGCUUCUGCUUUUGCCUUUGCCUUCUCCUUCACCUUCGAUAUGGCGCCUGCUUGAUCUGCUGGACCUGAGCUCUUCCGGGUUCGAAUCCUGCUCUGCCUCGCAUUGUCUUGUCUUCUUAUUCUUGGCUCAUUCUCUGCCAUCACCAUCUGCGAAAAAUGGAUCUAACACAUCACUUUUUCUUUUUUUGCUUUUUUUCAUUUUGACGCAAAUAAAGGUUUAACUUUACUGCAGAGAUAGUGUACAACCUCCAGCCAGAGAGGUAAGUUAGUACCUUCUUAAAUACAAAAUCUACUACUAGGACCUACCAGUUUCCAGACUGGUUUAGAAUGCUGCCAUGAUGCCAUUAUGUUCUCCGCGCACCAUUUUUGAUAGAACCUCUAAAUGAGCUCCUCCGCAUGUGUUGGAUUACUUUUAAUUUGCUGUUAGGUUUUGGACCAUGCAUUUCUUCCAUAAUCUACUAGGUGAAACCAUAUCUUUUGGCAUAGCUUCACACUCGGCCAGUGGAUGCCAUUAAAUGCGGUGUCAUUUCUAUUGAUCCAUCACUCAUGUAAUGACACCGCGCAAUAGUAACCACACUCUAUUUGGCCUUCUGAACCUUUGUGGAAUCCUAUACGCGAAAACACAAUGUUUCCAAGAGGGUGAAAAAUUCCCAAGACUUGGAUUCUGUUGUUGAGUAUUUCUUGGAUUUCGCCCUUGUCUUAACUAACUUGCGCGAUCGUCAUCAGAGGACCUACGGUGUCCAUACUCCACCCGCUGCCUCGCCCUUGUCGCAGUCCUCGGUGAGAGAAGUUGUAGAAUAUGGAUGCCCCACUUCCAUGCUUUGAUCGCUGAAGCUUACUCCCAUGUGGGGCAACAUUGGUCUACAUUGUUACCCACCCGGCUUUUCCACAAGUUAACAGCCACGGCCCUAUGCCAGGUUAACGACAACAAGCUCGUUUCCUUCCUUACCCGUUCCUUAUCCCGUACAUUCGCCCAUUUCAUUUUGAAAUUGAGAGGAAGAAUUCCAUCCCAUUCUUUUCUCGGCACAUCCUGUGUUUCAUGAUGUUUCCGCAGCAGCGAUCUGCCCAGUUUAGCUGGGUAGUGUAUAAAUGGAACUCCUCCUUGCCAUUGGAAUCGCUCAGGAUUCCAUCUUAAUGAGUCGACCCUCCCGUAACACAACAUGCAAAUCUUUUCAUGGGGCUAUUUUUUCGUAGGCAAGAUUCUUACUCUUUAGAAAAUCCCACAAGCGAGGGUUAAGUCUUGAUCUUCUCGCCUCAUUCCUUGAAACUGGAGUUCUCUGUCUCAUCUUGAAAUUUGGCUAGUCACAGUGUAUAAUUUAACCAUCAAUGGAAUCCAGAAUUCUGUCUCUCAUAUUUGCCUGGAACUCACGACACAAUUGCCACACUACCAUAAGAUGAUGGGCCUAUUCAGAGUGGAACAGGCCAGCCCAUUCUUGCACUUUUAACUGUGUGACAGGGCCAAUUUUUGAAUAUCUUUGAUAGAUGCAAGAGUAGCUUCUUUUCAUAAUCAUUGUAUUAAAGCCUUCUAUUAUAAUGAGGAAAAGAUAAGAAGCUAAAAGAUGGCCUUGCCUAAUCUUUCUUUUGAUUGAAAAGAAUUUAGUCUUAGAGCCAUUUAUCUUUAUACUAGCUUUUGCAUUUAUAAUUAAUUGUCAAACCAUUUAAAUAAAUUUGAAGGAAAAGCUCAUUUUUCUAUCAAAGUAAACAAAAAUUUCCACUUAACUAUAUCAUAUUCUUUAGAAAAAUCUAAUUUCAAAAAGAUGAGUAUUUAAUUCGACUUCUUUGUUGAUUCCAUAGUCUCAUGCUUGAAUAAUAAUUUAUCUAAAAUAUAUCUAUGGAUAAAAAAAAGCCAAUUGAUCUAUGCUGAUAAUAUUCAUAAGAAUUGGUUGAAGGUAGAUUUAUAGAUCUUUUGCAUAAAUCUUGUAACUAAAAUUAAAGAGAGUAAUUGGCCUUUAAUUAUAUAAGUCAUUCCAAGGUCCCUUCUUAUGUAAUAAUGUUAUUAAUUCAUAUAUCAUACUUAAAAAAAAUCAACCAUAGAUGAUGCUUUUUUUUAUUAUAAUUAAAUAUUUUUGUCCAAAAUAUAAUUAUAUCUCAAAAAAGUUGAUAGAAUUCAAAAAUGACACCAUUUAGGCCUAGAGAUUUAUCUAUGUACAUCACCUACAUAGCAUUUGUAAAUUCUCCCAAUGAAAGUGUAUUUUGUAAACUUGCUUUUGUUGAUGGAUCAGGCUUCUCAAUCAUGUCGAACACAACUUAGUAAUUAGCUUCUUAUGUGAAUUAAUCAAUUGAUUGUAUUGUAUAUAAUUUUGCAUAAAUAUUUUAGUAUAGGUAUACUAAUACUUUGGGAUUACUAUGACCUUGAUUCUAUGUGCCCAAUAAUUUAGAGAUGUGCAUUCUUAGUGGGUCUAAAAGAAAUUUUUGGUAGAAUGGUUGCUUUCUUUCUACCACUUCAACCAAAUACAAAGAAACUAGUCAUUUGUAUUUUUUUUUCUUAUGGAUCUAUAUCUAUUCAAUGUUAUAUGUAAGUUGUGUCUACGAGGUUGUUUCUUCAAAAUGUUAUUGAAACUGAGCAAAUAACUCACCUAAUUCCUUAUAUAAGUUGUUCUUAAUCCAUUGCCUCUUUGUUGCCAUGCUUAUAUAAUAGAUUUUGUAAUACUUAAUACAUCAAUGCAAUCUUUUAAAAAAAAAAGGAAUAGAGUAUAAUUUCUAUUUCCUCUACACAUUGAUUUACACCUCUUAUAGAAAAGAUACUAGGCAUUCAUGACAUAGAUUGAUUUUUGUCAUGAUUCCUCUUACAAGUGAACUACCUUCUAUAUUAUAAGGUCAUUGGAAUAUGCACUAUCUUCCAAUAUUUCAUACUUUGAUCAAUUUGUCAUCUUCUUCUGUGACUAAAUGGUUUAAAUUUGGUCCAAAUAUGCCAUUGCUUUACUUGUACCCUGCUUCUUAUUGUCCCAACUCAAGUGCAAUAUAUACAAUGUUGAAAAUCUCUUCUUAACUUGGAGAAAGUUUUUUAAGUUAUUAAAUAUUCUCUUUUCAUAUUAAAUAUGUCCCAAGAUUACUAAUCUAUUGGAAUUGAUUUUGUUACACUAAUAUUGUACAAAAUUCUAACCUCUAAUCAUGAUCUAUUUGCAAUCAUUAGAUAAAGAGUCCACCAAUUCACUCUAAAAUAUGCAUUGUUUAUGGAAAAAGUAUGGUGCUUAGAUGUUCACCACUACAAUCUCCUAACUUGAUAUUUUUUCUAAUCAUAGCUAUUAUAAUUUUUUAAAUUUGGAUUAUUCAAAAGAACCUAUUAUAUGUGUAAUUUACAAAAAAAAUCUAUAUUUUAAUUUCAUUACCUUUCACAUUUAAUUAAUUGGUAUUUUGAUUAUAUGCUAUAUCUACAUCCUACCUAUAGAAAUUGGGACCUAGUUAGAUUUAAUUCUUUACAAAUAACAAUACUAAACUACAUAGUUUGUAAUUCUGAAUAUAUAAAAUGUUUACUUUGUGCUUUUUUUGAUAGAAAUGUUUUUGUACUACCAUGAUUUUUACCAAGUCGUUUAGACCUUGAAUUUUUUACGUGAAGAUGGCUAAUUUCAUUAGUAGGGAUGAGAAGAGGAGAAGGUAUAAUUUAUCACAAUCAAGAGGUACUAUUGUUGCUUAGAAUUCAAUAUCAUAUCUUUACUAAAAGUAGUACUAAUUUUGUCAUUAUUCCUUCACCAUGGAGCCACUUUGUAAAUAGAAGUGACAAGUAAGUCAUUAACUCUUGAUUUAUUUUCAAUAAUUUUUGAAUUAUCUUCAUAGAUGUUUUCGAAUAUUUGAGAAUGUCUUCCAAUCAUAUUUCUAUUAUAGUUUGGUGAGUCAGGUAGGACAUUUUAAUUGCUCUAACAAUUCUUUUUUAUUGAUGCAUCAAAAAGUUGAUCAAGACGAUCUCUUUUUAUUUAAGUAUAUAUCCAAUUAAGCCAAUUAGUGAUUAAUUAUGGUAUGUGAGUAGGUACUAGACAUUUCUAUUAGCAGAUUUUGAUUUGUGUUAUUUCCUCCCACUUCUUUCAAUAUUCCUUCAUUAAUGAUUGAUUUUAUUUAUACUAGAUUUAUCAAAGAAUUUAGAGUUGGCUCACUAAUUGCCUUGCUAAGUAUUAAAUCUACAAUUUGAGAACCUCUAUUUGUAGAAUUAUUUCCAUUUGAUUGAGUCAAUCUAUCUGUUGUUGUAUUAUAUGAAGUCUUACUUGAGAAUGCACCAAGUACCUGGCUUUGGAAGUUAGAAUAGAAAUUACAACAAAAAAAUCCUAAAUAUAAUAGAAUAUUAAAUAAAAUCUAAUUAAACCUUAAUAAUAUUAAGCAAGCUUUAAUCAAAUUCAAAAGAAAUCUUAUAGAAAUUAGAAAAAAAAUAGUAAGAUAUCUUAAAGGAGUUCAAAAGAAAUCCACAAUAAAACUUUAAAAAAUAUUAAAAUAAUCACAAAUAUAUCUUAAAUAAAUCUCAAUCAAGUCCUAAUUUAAUCUUAGUUGAAAUCCUAAUGGACUUCAAUCAAAUCUUAGGCCAAAUCCUAAAUCUUAAGCAAAUCCUAAAUCCUAAAUCUUAAAAAAAUCCUAAAAAAAUAUUAAUCCAAAUCUUAAAUCCUAAUCCAACUUUAAAACUUAAUCAAACCUUAAUCAAAAUCUAAACCCUAAACCAAUUCUAAUCCUAAAUCAAAUCUUAACCAAAACCUAACCAAUUCAAUGUAAUCCUAGUGUAAUUUAGAACCUCAAUAUUUAUUGAUUAAAAUGUUGAUCUUGCUUAAAGUUUUGAAUACUUUUCAAAAACUAAAUUAACAAAAAACACACAAAAUUUGAAGUUAAUCACACUUACCAAAUAGAAGUAAAAUCCUAAAAUCUGCUCAAGUAUUGGCCAACCUAUUACUACUGCAAUCUGAAUGUUGAACUUCUAGUGCCAAUAUUUUCUUUUCAAAUUAUUCAAUUAUUUUCAAAUUUCAUGUACAUGUAGUAAAUCAAGUCUAUUACCUUGAAAUAUAAAAUUCACUCCAAUUCAACUAAUAGAUUGCUAAAGAUCUUAGAAAUCCUAACUGCCUCAAAAAGUUUAAUUUCUGAGACCUCAACCUACUUGAAAUUUAAUAAUCUUCAAUUCAACUAUUUGAUUAAGCUCAAACUUACAACACAUACUUCAAAUAAUUUUUCAUAUAAGUUUUCAAAAUUUUAACCAUAGAUCUACUAUCAAACUUAGAAAAUUCUCCAAAACAUAAUAACCUUUUUAUUUUAUAAAUUUUAGAAUCACCCAAAAUAAUUGUAAAUUUCCAAAGCUCUUACAAAGUCAUUAUAUACUCAUAUCACUAAAAAUCAACAUCCAAAGAAAUCCUAUUAGAUUUUCUCUCAAAUUCCAUUCUUCAAUUUGCAAAAAAAACCCUAAAUUGCCAUAGAUGCUUAGUUUUGUGCCUUGGGAUUUGAUUGUUAUCUAGGUUGAUAACCAAUCUUCUUUGGAUAACAAAUUUUAUCCCUUUGAAUUAAUUUUUUCUAAAUUCAACUCUUAACUUCAUCUUAUAUAUGUUCAUAUCCUUUAUUUUUCUGAUCUACCUUAUUUUAUCUUAUUUAUGGCCUUACAAAGUAAAUAGAAGCUUACUUUGUAAAAAUGAAGUAUUGAUACCUUUAGUUUUAGUUUUUCUGAACUAUUAUCUAUUUUCUAAUAUAAUUUGCUAUAAUAUUUGAAGUAAGAUCUUCUAUAAUAUAAUAGUUUCUUCACCUUUUUUUACCUAUUAAUUGUGUUACAUCACAACACCAUGUUGUUAUGUGUAGAGGCAAUAGUGGUCUUAUUUCUCUUUUUAAAUUCUAUGGAUGCAUGAUUGGAACUUAAAUUCAUUGUAUUGUCUUCAUCUUGCUAGAUCAUUUGUAGUUUAUUUGGAUGACUAGAUUUUUCAUGUAAUCUAUCAUAUCAAUUUUUCUUUAUUAUAUUAAGCUUAUUUAUAUCCAAAAACUUUGAAGUGUUUGGUGAAGGUUCUUAUUUCUACAGUUCUUCUUUACUAAAACAUGUACUCCAAGCUUCUUAUCUACAAGUCUUUUGUAUUUACCAUAUCCCUUGGAUCGUAUUUAUUUUUUGAUUAAUUGGUGCUAUUAUUUUUUUGAGAUUGAUUAAAAUUUAUUACUAAAUUAAUUGAUAAUGUUUUGAUGGAUUAUCUUUCAAUCCUUUAUGGUGGAAGGACUUUUGGAAGGAUUUUUGGUUCUAUCAAGCCAAUGCAAUUCUCUACAUUUUGAGCUCUUUGGUUGUUGCUAAAGAAGGAGUUUAAUGCUAAUUGAAGGUCUUGUAUACUCGUUUUUAUAGGACUUGGUCUUUGUUUACUAAGUAGGAAUGGACAAUCUCUUAUGAAGUGCUUUGUCAACAUACAAUAUCUACACUUAAUUAAGAGGUUAUUGUAAUCAACUUAAAAAUAUGUAAUAUUACUUGUUACUAGAUUAAAGUCAUCAAUCAUCAAUACGUAAAGGCUGCCAUUGAUAAAAGCAACACAAUUUUUUUUAUUAAGAUUAUUUUUAUUAUUACCAUCUUGCUUUAGGAUAUAUCCAAGACAAUAGACUAAGUCUCUUGUGCUAUUCAAAAAUUCAUCGGGAAUAGAUUUCAAAGUUAUCAAAGUCAACAUUUUUAUACUGAUUAAAUGACUUGAAUUAAAUUUUGUCAUCUAGGAUUAAAGUAUACAAGUCCCUCAUUGUGAAAUAUACAAAGUUUCUAUUAAGAUUUUUUUAGAAGUGAUUUUGUCUUUACAUACCACUUAAAAAAAUCUAAAAGUCAAGUCAUGUCCUAAGUAGAGAUCUUCUUUCACUUUAGCUUUCAAUUGCAUAUUCUAGGCUUAUAUGAUAUGGAUUAUAGGCUUAAUUUAAACAAAAUAUGCAAUUAUUAUAUAAUGCUAUAGUUAUUUUAUUUCUUAUUUUAUAUUUUUUUCAUUCAAUUGUACUUCAAUGACUUGAGUACUUAGUAAGAAUCUUGUAUAAUCCUUAAUUAAAUAUGUAGAAAGCUUUUUUUAGGCAUGGAAGUAUAAUAUUAUUAUUAGCAUACUUAUCUAGUUCAAUAAUAGUAGCAAUCAAUUCUGACUCCACCUUAUUUAUCUUCAAUGCUUGAUCUAUCAUUUGUCCUUCCUUUGACUAAGUAGGGGCUAUUGGAACAUGUGUUAAUUUUAUCUUAAGUAUCUCUAUGUAAGUUGCUAUCUUACUUUCUAUUCUAUCAUCUUUUCUAUUAUUAUAUUAUGUAUAUUUUUGCUUGAGAAUAUAUCAAGUACCUAGCUAUGGAAGGUAAAUAACAAUACAACAACCAUUCUACUAAGUUUAAUAGAACAUUAAAUAAACUUCAAGAAAUUCCUAAUAAAUCCAAUCAAACUUUAAUCUAUCCAAAUAAAUUUAAAAGAAACCACAAAAAAAAUUAAAAAAAAAAUUAAAAUACUAAAAAUAAAUAUUCUAGUAUGACUAUAAUUAAAAAUCUAAUCAAAUAUUAAACAUAUCCUAGGUCAAAUCUUGAUUGAAACUCUAAUUGAACCUUAAUAAAAACUUAGGUCAAAUCUUAAUGAAAUCCUAAUAAAAUCCUAAAUCCUAUAUAAAUCCUAGACAAGUUUUAAAUCAAAUUUUAAUCCUAACUAAAUCCUAGAUCUUAAAUAAACUCUUAAUAAAUCCUAUAGGAAAAUGGAACCUCAAAAACUAAUGAUCAAAUCAUUGAUAUCAACUCAAAAUUUGCAUAUUUUUUAAUAUCUUAGUUAGAAACAAAAAAAAGAAAGAUAGAAUCAAUUGCACUUACCAAUUGAGAGAAAUGCAAGAUAAUCCAAUUAAAUGUUGGACGGCCUUCUACUCCAAUAUGAAUGCUAAACUUCUAGUACUAAUAUUUCUUUUUUAAACUAUUAAAUUGCUAAAAAAUUUCAUCUAAACAUUGGAAAUCAAUUCUAAUAUUUAUAUAAAAAAAUUCACUUCAAUCCAAUUUAUAAAUUGCCAAAGAUCUUAGAAACUUUCACUGAUAUUCAAACUCUAAUUUUUGAGAUUUCAAUCUACAAAAAUCUUUAUAUACUCCAAUCUAAUCAUUUUAUUGACCUCACAAAUUUCAUAUACUUUUACAACUAGCACAUCAAUAUAAUGCUCAAAUUUCACUUAUACAUACAUCAAAAAAUUCAAGAAAUCUUCAAAUUUGUAAACAUAUUUUUAAUUUUCAAAUCCUAAUCCUAUAAAAAACAUCAUUAAUUUUAAAAAUCCCUCAAAAUCUCAAUAUUUAUUUGAAUACCAUAAAACCAAUGCCUAAAAAUAUUUCUUUAAGUUUGCUCUCAAAUCUCAUUUUUGAUCUACCAAAGAAUCCUAAAAUCAUUGUAGGUGUGUAAUUUUGUGCCUCAAGGACUGAUUUUGAUCCAAAUUAACAAUUGAUCCUCUUUGGAUAUCAAUUCUUGGCUUCUUAAGGUCAAUUUUACUAAAAUCUAUUCUUGACUUCUUCUUAUACAUGCUUCUAUUAUUUUAUUUUUCAAUCUACUUUGUUUUGUAUUAUUUAUGGUCCUAUAAAGUAAAUAGGAGCAUUUUUUGCAAAAAGAUAGCAUUAGUAUUUUUUUUUUUACUACCUUUUCAAGUAUUAUCUAUAUUUUAAAGAUAAUUUGCUAUAAUAUUUUAAAAUAAGAUCUUUAAUAAUAUAAUUUUUUCUUCUCUCUUUUAUUCAUUAAUUGUAUUACAUCAUGACACCAUAUAAUUUUUAUGACUCUAUACCUUCUCCUCCAUUCAAAAUCCUAGCAAACAACUUCAUUCUAUCAUAGUAUUCUUACUACCUCAUUGUAUGUGACUUGUAAUAUGUUAAAGUUGUAUUUUUACUAAGCUUAUAAUUAAAGAGUUCUAACAUGAGAUUACUACUGUAUGUAUUGUGGUUGAUCUUGAAACUUCUUUUUUUACAAUAGCAUAAUUUUCUAAAGCACCAUCAUUUCCUAAAUGAUAGUUUUGUUGUUUACAACUUUUCCAAAUACAUCAUAUUUUAUAGUGUUUCUAUGUUUGUCUAUAUAAUUGUGUUUGUGUAUAUAUAUAUAUAUAUAUAUAUAUUUAUAUUUAUAUUUAUAUUUAAGUGUAUAUAUGUCAAGUUUUAGUGGUAUAUAAUUACAAAAGUAGCACUUAGACUAUAGAUGGGAUUGCAUAUACAUGCACAACUAAAUAAUUGAGUUAAUAGAGUGUGCUCACUUUACAAAUGAGGCUAUUGUGUAAAUGUGGUACAAAUGUGCCUUCACUUGAAUUAUUGUCAAUUGUUCUUACUUUUGAAAUAUAAACUAGAAAAUUACAUCUACUUGUUCAGAAUAACAUUUGGAUUUAAUGGUUUUUUUAUUGAAUUUAGUGAGAAAAAAAAAUUAUAUUGCUAAGAUAGAAGUUUUAUGAAGAAAAUAUAAAAGAGCUCUCUUGUUUACUAUCAACGAUUCAUGAAAACAAAUACUUAAAAUAAACCUCUACUUCUAUUCUUAAUAUAUGAUAAGUCCAUAAUUUAACCACAUGGACUUUCUAGUAUAAAUUUAAAAAUAAAUAGCCUAGUCAAUAAUGUCCAAUCAACAUAUGAACACUUGUCUUAUUAGGUUGAUAGGUUGAUAGCUUGAUAGACUAUGGCAGCUAUAACUUGUCAAUCCACAAAGCAGUGUGAAUCACCCAUUCUACUUUAUAUCUAAUAAGAGUUAUAUACUCUAUUAAUACUCUAAUUUAAUGACAUAUUAGACUAACUCAAUUUGAUGAUAUCCAUCAUCUCCUUGAAUUUAUGAUUUUUUUCAUGAAUUAGACCCUUGGAUAAAAAAACUGCAACUAUGUCUUGAGUCUCGCAAAAAACUAAGUUGAUAUCACCACUCUCAAUCUUUUCAUGAAUAAAGUGAUCUUGAAUUUCAACAUGCUUAGUACGAGUAUAGAAUGUAGGAUUUUUUGAAAGAAAAAUAUAACUUUGAUUAUUAUUAUUAAAAAUAGUCAAAAGAUUGUCUUAUGAAUAUCCAAUAUCUUUAAGAAAACCUUUGAAACCAAAUUACCUCAUUUGUAGUAUGAGUAGUUUUCAUAUACUCUACUUCAAUAAUAGAUAAUACAACUGUUGGUUGUUUCUUGGUACUCCAACUUAUUGCACCAUCAACGAACAAAAAUAUAUAAUUAAUAGUUGAGCACUGUAUAUCAAUAUCUCUUGUAUAGUCUGCAUCACAGUAUCCAAUUAAUUGAAAAUUUAAAAAGCUUCCACUGUAUUAUAGCAUAUGAUUUGAUGUGCCUUGAAGAUAUUGCAAAAUGCAUUUCACAGCUAUUCAAUGUUAUAGGCCAAAAUUUUCCAUGUAUUGGCUAAAAACUCCCAGUGGAUAUGAAAUAUUGGCCCGAGUGCCUAUCAUUGCAUAGAUUAAAAUAUCCACUAUAUUUUGAAAUAUAAUUCCCGUUACUCUUUCAACUUCCUUAGGAAUCUGUAGAUUCAUGUUUUUUGAUAAUUUACUAUUAGAAUCCAAAGGUAUAGCCAAAGAUUUACAAUCUUUCAUGUUGAAUCUUUCAAGGAUAUUUUCCACAUACUUUUCAUGAUUGAGAUAGAUUUUAUGAAUCUUUUAGUUCCUCAUAAUCUACACAUCCAAAAUAUAAUAGAUUUCUUUCAAAUCCUUCAUUUGAAAUCUCUCAAUUAGAUUUUUUUUAUUUUUAAGAGAAGUUUUUUUAUUAUUAGACAUAAGUAUCAAAUCAUCCACAUAGAGUACAAUAAUGAUAAAAAAAUCCAUUAGUUGUCUACAAUACUUAAAUGUCAGAAUCAAUAUAGCUUCUUCUCAAACUUUGUGAGGCAAAAUUUUCAUCUAUCUUCUUAUAUCAUAUCCUAGGAGAUUGUUUGAGUUCAUAGAGAGUUUUAGUGACUUUACACAUCAAUUAUUCUUCACUUUGUGAUAUAUAGCAUUCUGAUUGGUCCAUAUAUAUAUAUCUCUUUUUUAAGAUCUCCAUUCAAGAAUGUUGUCUUGAUAUCCAUUUGAUGAACUUCUAAAUCUUCAAUUGUGCCUUGUAUAAGAAAGGUACAAAUUGAGGUCAUUUUUGCCAAUAGAGCAAAAAUCUCAUUGUAAUCAAUACUUUCUUUUUGUACAUAAUCUUUUGCAAUGAGUCUUAUUUUAUAGCACUUCAUUGAACUAUUUAUAUUAUAUAUGAUCUUCAAAAUCUAUUUGCAACCAAUUGAUUUUAUGUUUAUUGAUAAUAAUCUCAAAGUCCAAGUCUUGUUGUCAAUGAGACUUUGAUAUUUUAAAUCCAUUGCUUCUUUCUACUUCCAAGUAUCAUCUCUUUUCAUAGCUUUAGUGAUAGUACUUGUUUCUUCAAUGCUUAUGUAAAAAGCAUUUGCCAUACACGCUCAAGAUAUGAAUGUCUUAGAAGGAAUCCAAGCAAAUGUUGAUUCAUCAAUUACUUACUAUUGUGCCAAAAGUCAAGUUCUUGCAUAUAUCAUUAUAGGUGAAGGUAGAGGUAAAGGUGGGAUUAGAGAUACGUUUAAAACAGCACAUUGUUGUCCAAGUGCUCAAGCAUGUGUUUGAAUAUCUCAAACAAAAGAUGAAGAUUCAAUAGUUGGUUGUUGGUGACUUUUACCAAUGUCUAAAUUUUCCAUUGUAUCUUCAGUGUUACUUUUUGAAUUUGAUGAAGAUUCCAUAGGCUCAAUUUUAAUCCUUGUUUUUUGAGGUUUAUCAAUAGAAACCUCUAAAGUCUCUUUCGUUUGUUUAGAGUCUUCAUACUCAAUAAACUUAACAUCACAACUCUUAAUUAUGGAGCCAUUUUCAACAUCAUAUAAGUGAUAGCACUUAGCAUCCUCAAUAUAGUUUAGAAGUAUACAUUUUUUUCUUUUAGGAUUAAAUUUUGUGUUUUUUUCAUCUAAAACAUACAUACAUGCAUUAUAUCCAAAUACAUGAAGAUAUUGUACUGAAGGUUUUAUACCUCAUCAAACUUCCAAUGUUUUUUCUUCCAUAGCUAUAAUAAAAGCUUGAUUAGAGACAUAUGUUGCAAUAUUAAAGGCUUCUACUCACCAUGCAUUUGUAAGUUAUUUAUACUAUAACAUGUACCUUGCACUUCUAAAUAAUGUCUAAUUCUUGUGUUCUACAACUCCAUUUUAUUAAGACAUAUAAGGCGUUAAAAAUUAUCUUUCAAUGCCAUUUUGCUCACAAAAUCAUUUAAAGGCUUUAGAUGUGUAUUCUUUACCAUUAUUACUAUAUAAUUUUUGUAUCUCCAAGUUUGUUUUUUUUCAACUAGAGCCUUAAAAAUCCUAAAGUUAUCCAAGACUUUAGACUUUUGUUUCAUGAAAUAUACAAAAAAUAAAAAUAAAAAUAAAAAUCAUUAAUAAGAGUAACAAAGUAUUUUGAUUUUCUAUAAAAUGUUGUCUUUAUAGGACUAUUUAUAUUCAAAUGUAUCAAUUUCAAGAUUUUUUUUAUAAAAUUACUAUCUUUUGUUAGAAAAGUAUCACAAUAUUGUUUUUCUUAUAUGCAUCCCUCACAAAACUCUAACUUUGUGUCUUUGCCUAUGUCCAAAUGAGUGACUAUAUCACCUACUUGUAGUUUCUUCAAGCCCAAAAUACCAAGAUGACUAUAUUAUUGAUGCUAGAGAUCAACCUUAUUCAAAGUUUAUUUUGUUUUAAUAAUAAAAGAAGUCUUUUUAUCUUUAUCAAAAGAUCCCAAUAGCUUAUACAAGCUAUUAUGUCUAAUACCUUUAAUAGUUGUAUUGUAUUGUUUCAUAAAAUAUGUAGUAGUAUUAAAAUUGACUUUGUAACCUUCAUCUAUCAUUUUGCUUACAAAAAGCAAAUUCUUGGCCAAUCUUUAAACAUCCAAUAUAUCAUGUAUAUCCUUACAAAUAUUGUUUAGAAAUUGAAAAGAAAUCUUAUCCUUCCCUUUGAUAGCAAGUCCAAUAUCAUUGUCUAAAUAGACUUUAGGGCCUUUUGAUAAGUUUUCAUAACUUGAAAACCAACUUCAAUUUCCUAUCAUGUGUUGAGAAGCACCAAAAUUAAUAUAUUAUUUUUUGUCACUUGUAAUUAUUGUUUUACUUAUUCUAGACUAAUAUAAUUGGAAUAAACAUGUAUAAGAGAAUUUGAACUAUCUGCAUAAGUUUUCACGUUAGGAUCACACAAUUAACUGUCUCUUGAUUAACUAAAACAUCCAAGAAAGCUACAAUGCCUUCCACAUUCUAUCAAAUGAAAUAUUACAAUGAAUAAUUCUAUCUUUGCAUUCACUUUUUCUUCUCUUUAUCAAAAUUCAUAACAAUGAUAUGUAAUACUAUACUAUCUUAAAAGACAAUAUGUAACAUUCCAUAAUCCAAUCAAUGGAAUUUUCCAAAACUAACUAUCUUUUUCAAUAAUCUACUUCACACAAUUCCAGACUCUAUAGACUUCUUUUUGUGGCACACUUUCAACUCUCAAAAAUCAAUAUAUUAAAAUUCUCCCAAUCACAUCUAUACUUCACAAAUAUAUUCUAUUAUCGACUUUCCAAUUUUCCACUUAUAAUUCAACACACAAUAAAUUUAAUUUUUUAUUGACAUCAUAUAAAUCAAAUCUUUCUUUCAUUACAAAAUUUCACUUCAUAUUAUUCAAAAACUAUUCAUUACUCUUCUUCUAUAAAGAAAACAAAGAAACAAAGAGAUAGCACUAAGCUUAUCUCAACUCAUGACUAUCAUAGUCUGGCCCCUAUUACUUCUUCUUCAACUUACUUAUGCUUUUCUCGAGAUGCCAACCACUAUACAAUUGUUGAUAAUUAAUUUUUUUGACUACAUCAUCCACCCUACCUUCUAAACUAUCCAUUCAUCAAUUUAUUAGCUUUUCUUAAUCCUACAUAGUAUGUAUUGUAAAACAAAAAAAUCCUAUCUAUUCUAUAUUAGUCAUAGUGAUAGAUAACUUAGCUACAAAGACAGAUUCAUUAUCCUUUGAUCUUUCUUAUCUACUUUAUUAGCUUGCUCUUUUAAAAAAGUUUUCUUUAAUUUUUUUGACUUCUUGUCCUUCUUCUAGGUCCGAAAUUCUUUUUCAAAUUCACCUUUCUUGCUACAAUAUAUGCAUUUGACAUCCUUCUUGUCAUCAUGUAAAAACCUUGCAUAAAUGUGAAUAUGAAAAUAUAACUUGGAUUUUUUUUUAUAGCCAAUGCCACCUUGACGGUUGAUCUUACAUUCUUGUCAUGAGACUUUUAUUGUAAUAGUUGAGUUGUGACUAUUUGUAAUGUUAGUUCUAUUGGAGGUUUUGUCUCUACUAUCACCACUAAUAUUUGAUAUGAUUUUGAGAGACUUCUAAGUAAUGCCAUUACAAAUUGUGUAUUAAAAACCUUGUCACCAAUAGAAGAAAGUUGCUUCGCCAUCUCCCAUAGCUUGCUUAUUUGCAUAGUCCACAACUUGCAAAUUAAGUAAAGUAGGCUCAAAUUUUUUUUACCUCGCAUGUUGCUUCUAGACCUUACCAUAUUGCAUGUGCACUUUUGCCUUACUUAUGAUUAAAAAUUUUGUACUUAUAAGAUGUAGGCAAAUUGCAAAUAAUGUCUUCUAGUCUAUAUCUUUCCAUUUCUCUAAUUCUUUUGGGUCUAUGGUGUUGUGUUGUAAUACAAUUAUAUGAUCAAAAUAUAAUCAAAAAUAAAAUUUUAAAUUAAUAUCUAAUUAUCUUAAUUUAAUAAUAUUUUAAGAUAUUUAUAAUGGCUUUUAUAAAAGCCUUUUAAUUUAUUUUUUUGUCAUAAUAGCUAGCAGAUUAAGGAUUGGUUAGUAAUUUUAUCUUUUAGGCUAUAAAAACUCAUUUAUUGCCUUAAAAAUGCCAUAAAUUAAUAAAAUCAUAUUAAAAGUAAUAAAUAAUUAGUAUGGUUAAUAUUAGGAUUAAGUUGAAAAUAAGGUUGGACUAAAAAAUCCCAAGAAUAGAUUAGAUUGAUAUCUGAGAGUUGACCAUUUGGAGAACAAGGUCGAAAUCAGAUCUCUAACUACUAAAAUGACCACCUAAGGCAAAGUAGAGAACAUUUAAAGUUCAGCAAUUAGGAUUUAGGAGCUAGCUUCAAGCUAAUUCUAAAAGUUUAAAUUUAUAGUUCAAAAUUUGAUAUUACUUGGUUGAUUUGCUAAGUGUGUAUAAAAUUUUAUAUUAAUCUAACAAAGUAAUUGAGAGAUAUUUGAAUUUUGAUAUAAGAAAAUAUUAGAAAUUAGCAAUUUGGAGUUAGAUAGGAUUUCUAUGAUAUGUGGAGAUCUACUAGUUGGAUCAUAGUAUUAAAAGGCUUCAAUAUCAAGCUAUAUAUUGAUUUUGAAUUGAAGUUAAUGGUUGGUGAAGGAAAAAUUGCUACUUGAACAUUUGCAUCAACUUUUAAGUUGGCAGCUAAAUGACAUCAAUGCAAUUUUUGGACUUUUUUUCACAAAUUUUAAAUUGGAUUGGAUUGAAUUUUAUUAGAGUAUAUAAAAGGUUUAUAGUGGAAUUUAUAUGUAAAAUUUUGUAUGAAGUAGACAGUCAAAUUAAGAAUUGUAGCUCAUCAAAGCUAACUGACAAAGAUUAGGGCUUACAAAGAGAAAUCAAAAUUACCUAAUUAUAAAAGUAAUAAAGAAAUUGGGAUUAAUGCAUGGUUGAGAUCAUUAAAGAGAGUUUUUUUGAGUACUUUGUAGUAGCUUUAAGUACUUUUGAAUUAAAAAUUCAAAUUGCAUUCUUUUUAUAUGGAUCAAAUCUAUUAAGGUUUCUUGGAUAUUUGUAAGACAUGACUUCACCUUCCACAACUAGGUUCUUAAUGUAUUUUCAAAAAAGACAACACAUAAUAUGACAAUAGGUGAUCCAAUAGAUUUCAUGUAUUUUCUAUAGACAACCUUCUAUAAAUUCUUAUCAAUUAAGACAAAUCAAAUUUUUUCCUUCUGUAAGUACCAAUUGUCUCCAUCAAAUUUCUCCAUAAUGUAGUACUUUAUUACCAUCUUACAAGCAAUAUGUCCUAAAUAGAAGAAAUUGGAAAAAUAGAAGAAAAAAUAGACGGUGAAUGAAAGUGAGAUCUAAAAAAGAUUUCACAAUUAUUUAUAGAUUUUAUGAGUUUUAAUAAAAAAAAAUCGUAAAGAAUUUCCAAAAAAAUUCAAAUUAUUUUUAAAAUAUGUAAAAUUAUAUCACUAGCAUUUUCAAAAAAAUUCAACUCAAAAUUCCAAAAAUUAUGAUUUUUAGAGCUUUCUAUGUGAAACUAUGUCCAAAAACUUUAAAAAAUCAAAUUUGGAGCUCCUUGGUCUUACUGAAGUUCUUUGGACUAUGCUAGCUUUGCUCCCACUGCCGAGUUCCACUACUAUUGCCGGAUCUUGUUAUUGCUGCUAGAUCCUAUUGCUGCUGUUAAGUCUCGUUGUUAUUAUUGCUAUGUCCUAUUGUUACUGGUAGGCCUCAAUACUGGUCUAAUCAGAUCAAUAACUCCAAGCUCUAGCAUCUUUUGCUUAUAGUACUGAAAUUUGAAAAUACUCUUUUUCUUUCAAAGUUAAUGCCUUGUUGCUUCAAUUAUGAGCAACCAAAAAUUUUAGUGGCUUGAGUUUUAGGCUCAUUAGAUAUUCAAUUCCUCUCAAGCUAAUGCAAAAAAUAAAACCUCUUUAAAGUUGAUUGAAAGAUUAAGUCCUGCAAAACAAUCUCAAUUGAUUUACUCAAAUCCAUCAAAGAGCAAAUCUAGAGUAUCAAUGCUCUGAUACCAUGUGAGAUAAUAAAAAAGAAGUAUAUUACUAAGAUAGAAGUUUUAUGAAGCAAAUAAAAAAGAACUUUCUACCUUACUAUCAAGGAUUCAAGAGAAUAAAUACUUAAAAUAAACCUCUACUUCUACUCCUUAUAUAAUAUAAGUCCAUGGUCUAAUCAUAUGGACUUUCUAGUAUAAAUACACAAACAAUUGGCCUAGCUAACAAUGUCCAAUCAACAUGUGGAUACUCGUCUUAUUAGACCAUACGAUGGCUUAAUAGGCUAUAGUCGCUAAAUGGUAUUACCACCAACAAAUUGUAGCUACAACUUGUCAAUCAGCAAAGUAGUAUCAACUGCCCAUUCUACUUUAUGUCUAAUAGGAAUUAUACACUCUAUUAAUAUUUAGCUAGCUUGUAUAUUCAUUUCAACAUACUUUUCUUUAGUACUAAUUUGUUGAGAAAUUUAUAUAUUCAACAUGAUGUUUUAUAUGUCUUUUUGAAAUUAAAUAAUUAUAUCACUAUCAAAAUGAUUUGUAUUUGAAGCAAGAUUUUUACAAUAAUAAAACAGUCUUUAUUAUGAAAUACUAUAACUAAUACAGAUAAACAUGUAAAAUCAAAACAACUCAUAUGUAGAUAGUAGCACAUGAUAGAAGUUAAAUUGUACAUAAUUAAGCUAGUCUAUUUGUAAAAAAAUAAUAUUAUAAAUUGAAAUAAUUAAUUUCAUAGGUCAUCUUUUUGUAAUUCUAAAAAAUUUAAGAUAUUUUCAAAAUAUAGAAAAAAAGACAUAAUAGAUAAUGUUUUUAAAAUAAAAUGGUAAUAAUUAUAAACAAAACAUUGAAUAAAAAACAAAGAGAUAAUUUUUCUUCUGAUAUGAAAAAAUUAAAAAAUUUCUAGAAAAAUAAUAUUUCUAUUCAUGCAUAUCAAUAAAGACUUCAAGUAAAUUAUAUGAUUUUCUUUAAUAGUGGUCUAAAAAUUUUAUUUUUCCUAUAAUAAAUGUUAUAUUUAAUAUUGAUUACUAUGAAAAUAAAAGUCAAAGGAAUUAACAAAAAAAUGUUAGCUUUGACUAGCAAUAUGCAUCAUAAAUUUUUUAAUCAAAUAAAUAAAUGUGUAUAUAUGUUUUUAUGUAUAUAUAUAUAUAUAUAUAUAUAUAUAUAUAUUUAUUGAUGAAAUUAUGAUGAGCUAUAAUAAGAUACAAUUAUUUCUAUAUUUUACAAAUAUGAGUGAUUUUUAAAAUUUUAAAUCUAAAAAAAUUAUAACCAUGAGAAAAUUACCUCUAAGACCACAUUAAAGAUCUAGUCAAAUUUAUAAAUCAUUAAUUUGAAUAUACCGAAUUAUUUAGGAAAUUAUACUUUCAAAAUAUUAUAAACUUAAUAUUUGAUAUAAAUAAUUUUAAAAUAUGUAAACUAUAUUGUAACAAAUAAGACUAUUUUAAAAAAUAUAUGUUAUAUAAUUUUUAUUUAAAAAAUGAUAUUUUGUUAUAAAAAACAUAAAAUUUUAAUUAUAAACCUAUAAAACAUAAAGUUUUAGUUUAUACUUAAAAAAUAUUUAAAAGUUGGUAAAUUUAUGUCGAUUUAUGUUAUUUAUUUAAUUCUAUCAUUUAAUCUUUCUAUCAUAUUUGUUGGUUUUGUUAGAAAAAAAGAUGCAUACUUUUAUCUUUUUUUGCACAUAAGUUUUUGGGUUUAAAACUAAAAUUUUCUUUUUAAAUAAUCUUAUAUGCAAUUUUUACCACGGUUUAGUCUAGUGUAUAUAUAUAUAUAUAUAUAUAUAUAUAUAUUUAAUUAUAUAUGAGCAAGGGAGAUUAAAAAGAAUUUUUGAAAUAAUUCGAAAUUUUCAGACUACAAUAUUUUAAAUUAUUAAUAUAAUAAUCAUAAUAAUAAUUAUAAAUACAUAAAUCAAUACAAAUUAUCUUAAAUAUUUUUUAUAGUUUCUACUAUCUAAUUUUAUAAUUUUAUAUGAAUAUUUGUAAUUCUUUAUAAUUAUAUUGUAUAAUUAAUUAAAUAUAUAUUUUAUAAUUUUUAUUUUUUAUGAAAACAUUCUUAUAAAUGCAACCUUAUAUAUAGCACCGAUUACUAUAAUAAUCAUUGAUCAAUUCUUACUUUUAAUUGAAAAGAUGAAAAAAUUAAGAAAAUCAAUAGAAAAAAAUAUAUUAUCCUCAAUUAUAAUUAUAAGAUUUAUAUGAAAUAUUCAAAAUAAUAUUUCAUUAGUCAUUUUAAUAUAUUUAGUAUUAUUUAUUUUUUAGGAUUGCAUAUAAAAAAUAUAUUUAAAAAUAUUACACUUUACAUUUAAUUAUAUAGAUUUUGAACUAACAAAUUUCGUGUAUUAUAAAAAAUAAAUAAAAUUUAUAAUACAUGAAAAAUAUUUCAAAAUGAUUAAUUCAUAUUAUUAAUAAUUUAAUAAAUAUUAAAAAUAUGUAAUUAAAAAUGUAAAUAAUACUGAAUCAAGUACACUUGAUGCUUUAAAUACACUUGGGCUUACAAAAGAUAUUUGUUCCAUUAGACAACUUGAGAAUCCUAGAUAGAGAAUUUAGCAUGAUUAAAUUGUAAAAGUCUUAUUAAAAAAAUUUACAAUAAGUGAAAUCUAUCCGAAUUAAUUUGCUAUAAUCUUAAAAUUCUCCAACAGGCUAGAGCAUUUACAAAUCUAACUAUAAUUUCAGAGUGUAAUCUUGCCAAGUAAUGUGGCAAACACAUUACUUCAUAAACUUGGCAAGAUUAACAAAGAUAGUCUAUAAUAAUUAUAUAUAUUUAUAUAUAUAUAUAUAUAUAUAAUACAAAAAAAUAAAAAAAAUCUACACAAGGUAUGGAAAGAGAAAAGUUCAAGUAGGUAUUUUAUUUGAGUAUUAAUAAUUUAUUUUCAUUAAAUAAUGUAAAUUAGCGUGUAAAACUAAAAAUAAAUGAAAUAAAAAUUUAAAAAUAAUUAAGGUACUAUUUUUUUUUCUUUUUUUCCUUUCUGAGAUUAAAAAUAUGUCACCUGUAAAAGACUAUUAUAAUAGAUUGAAGUUAAUACGUCAAAAUUAAUUACCUAUUUACUGAAACAAUAGUUUUAUUUUAUUUUGUAUUAUUUUUAUUCCUAAAAGGCAAGUUCUUAAAUAUAUCAACAAAUAUUUAGAAUGAUCUUUAAAUAAGUUAGAGGGCUUAUCCUGAUUCAACUACUAAUUAUAUUCUUUUUUUUUUUAAUUUACCAUAGUGUAAAUUUCUAAUGAUAAAGAUUAAAUGUUUUAAAUUAGAAGAUUAUGAAUUAAUCAAAAACAAUAUAAAAUAUAAAAUAUUUCUUGUUAAAAAUUAAUUUUAAUAUUGAAUUAUAUAAAUAUAAUGUAAUUGUAAGAAGAAUUAUAAUUAUUCUUAUAGAAUUUAGAAAAAAAUUAAUUUUAACAUAAAUGAAAAGGGACUUUAUACUUAGAUGCCUAUUUUAAAAGGCCAUAGUUGAAAAGCCUUACAAAGUUCUCUGAUUUUAUAAAGAAAAGCCCUUUUUUAGAAGGCUUGGCUUAUUAGUAUAAUAUAAAGUAAGAAGAAACAAUGAAACGGAACAAAUCAUUCUUUUAUUACAAGAUUGAAUAUUUCAGCUUAUAUCUUUAUUCUAAAAAUGAUAAGAAAUAUUUUGAAUAGUUAUUUUCUAUUUUAAAAUAUUUAUUUUAAGAAUUUUUGAAAAGGCUUUUUGAAUUUUCCUAAAAAACCAUCUCUUUAGAUGGAUCCAACAAAAAUUCUAAAAGAGAACACUAUUCAUGCCAUGUAAAUAAAGAAUGCAUUCUACCUUAUGUUUUUCUCUUAGAAGCUUUAGAGGUAUAUAUGUUUUAGGUAUAAAGCUUCUUGAUCUCAACCAAUUAAAACAUUUAAAAUUUGUUGCCUCUUACCUUAUUUCUUAAGCAAAAAAAUGCCCUUAGAUUUCUAUUUCUAACUCUUAUAUUUAAGUUGUAGGUAAUCUAAUGCAUAUUAUGGUGAAUUCCAGAUCAACUAGUGUAGUAAACAAUGCAGUACAAUAUUUUCCAAAUCACAAUAAUUCUUAUAUCAAAACCUUUCCUAAAAUAAUAUGUUUAAAGUAUAUUAGUUAUAAAGUUGAAUAUUUAGGUAAACAAAUGGAAUGCUUUUUUUGACUAUUUUAAUGUAUAUCAAACUAAAAACAAAGACAUAAGUAUCUUGAUAGAAGAAUCAUUUCUGUAGGCAAAAAAUUAAAGAAACAAAAAAUUUCAAUUUAAGUUAUUAACUAAUAGCUAAAUUCUACUUGCUUGGACUGAAUUGUAAAUAUUAAUUGAAGAGCAAGUAUGUAGAUAUUUAUGUCACAUUACAAGACAAUAUUGUUAGUUAAAUAAAUUGAAUUCUUUUAUAUUUUUAUAAUAUAUGUAACAUUUAAAUAUAAUUGAAAAAAAGAAUUACUAUAAUAUACAUAAAUUUAACAUGAUUUUUUAAAAAUUCUUACAUUCUAAUAUUUACAAUCUACAAUCACGAAGAUAUCAGCUUUAUUUAAUUUUUUACCAACUUUCAUUAAAAUUUAUAACUUCUCUAACUUUCCCUUUAGCAUUCAAAUGCAAGAAUUCUGAGCUUAUCUGCAAAGAAACCACAAAAACAAAAACAAAAACAAACAAACAAUCAAACAAACAAACAAACAUCAAACAAAAAUAACACUCUAUUCAUGCACAUAUGUAUAUAUAUGUAUAUUAAAAAACACAGAAAUAUAGUAACUGCUUAACAGACAUUCACAUACAUACAGACAUACAUAAAAGAACAUGAAUGAAAUAAAAUAACUAUUUGAUAAUAGAAGAGGAAAACAUCCAUGGAAACAGCAAUCAAAAUUGAUAUAUUCACACACACACACAAUUCACAGAAACAGGUAUAUAUAUAGAUAGAUAGAUAGAUAUGGCAACUGAGAGAGGUCGUGGAGGACUAGAAAGAAUUACCUGACCGUCCACGGCUACAAAGCAUCCAUCCAUGGGAACGAUUCAUCCAUCCAUUGGAACAAGUAACUCAUCCACUAAGACAAUGUAUUCAUCCAUAUUAUAACACAUCCAUCCCCGGCGUAGUCAUCGGGCAGCGCAGAGGUUGGGGGUGGCGCCGCAGGCCCUGCGGGGGUGUCUGUCUGUCUGUCUAUGUGUGUGAGUGUGAGUACCGAAUCUGAUUCAACACGGCGCACCUGCACGAUCCCACAUGUCCACGCUCCGGUACCACGGCCCACUCCAUUCAACCCCACUCACAUGUGUCCCUCAAAUCCAUCCAUCCCAAUCACCACUUUGACCAUCUGUCGACAGGACCACCCUUUACUCCCCUUCUCGCCUCGGUACUACUAUCCCGUCACUUCUGUGUCGCUGUGUGUGUGAGAGUUUCCGCUGCUGUGUCUCGCUACCGUAAUAUACAGUUCCAGCAUCGUGAUAUGUCUUACAUAAUGUUUUUAGGAAACGAAGACCAAGAAGAAGACCUCAUCCAUGUGGAAAAUACUGGCUUUGGAGACUUCUAGGCGAUCAGGUUGCUGUUGGAAAAGCUUGAGAGGUUUGGGAGCGUGUGGUAGUGAAAUUAAAGAUGGGCUUCGUCGAAGGGGAGUCAUAACAACAACAAAGGAGACUCUGCAUAUAGGUUGAUGGUGCAGAUCCAUUCUCCACAAUCUUUGGUAUGCUGAAGGCGCCGGUCUGUUGCAGAAACCAUCCGAGGUUUCAGAUCGGUGAUUUAUUCCGCUGAUUCGAAUGCUAGAAUGGCUGAAAACGUUGAUUUGAUACAUACGUUGCUCUUUUGUUUGUUUGUGCUCUUCGAUUUCGUCAAGCGUUAGGAGUGUGCGCAUGACCUCAGUGCAGGUUUCAUGAGUUUAUGAGUGGGUUCCUGGAGAUUUGGCGCUCGAUCCAACGAGGUUGUUGGUACUGUGAGUUAUCAGGGUUGAAGAUUGCUUGCUGGAGGUGGGCUGGCAUUGGGGCUGCGCUGACACGGAGGGUGAUAUUGCCGAUCAGAUGCUAUGAACCAGAGUAAAACAAGGGCGAGGGGAAAGAGCAGUAUGCGAGGAGGCCUAGGUUUAGAGAUGAAACUCGAGGAUUAGGGUCCCAUGUUGCGAGCAAUAGUUCAGCAAGUUGUUAUGUUCGUGCAAAAUCUAAGAAUCUAGAGGUAUGUUUCUCUCAUUGUUUACUCUACUCUUUAGCAUCAUCUGCUCUAUUAAUCUCUGAUUAUCUUACAGUUUUUGUAAAGGUAUGACAAUCUGAGCGCGAAUGAAAUUGCAGCAAGAGAAGUAAUCAGCUCAUGACUAUGAAUUCGUCCUAAUAGGAUUAGCUUGCUGUAUCCACGUAAGCAUUUGGUGAUUAGAGUUUUUCCAGCGCUCUCAUGAUGGACUUGAAAUUCAUGUUAUCAAUUUGCGAUUUCUCCUCACGAGAGAACAAAUUUGCAUGCUUUUGGCUGGUAUAAAAGGUGGAGACUCUGCCGUUUAUCUUGUCCAUCAUUGACCUUUCUCACCGAGAAUAGGUCUUAUCUAAGCAGUAUACUGAUAGACAUUUUAUAGUUUCAAGGAGCGGUAAAUGGCCAAUUGCAGGUAUAUGCAAGAGCAGGCAUUUCCAAGGCUGCAGAUUUUCCUAAAUUUCUUGGUCCAGCUCUUGUCUGAACCCUUCAAGCUAAGUAAAACAAUUAUUAGGGAGCCAGGCUUGACUAAGACGUGACUUGCUCUAAAAGUAUAUUGCAAAUAUAUGUUUUCCGAGUUGUCUCCUACAUGUUGCGACUUCAUUUAGUUAUGCUAUUCGUGUGCAACAGCCUCAUCGAACAUCUCUUGUGGACGGGUUGCUUCUUCUUGGAUGUCUCUUUGCAAAUCAACCGAUAUCAGGAACGGCAAGAAUGUCGUGUAUUUGCCAUAUCUUGUGCUGGGCCUGAAGACAUGGAUGUCAUUGUCUCUCGGUGUGCAGCUAAAUCCAACAUUGACUCACGAUGUUUUGGGAAUUUAGAAAAGAGAAGCCACUCCUACCACAUUGUUAAACGGAAUAUUGACAGCUUGCAUCAGCGAUGUGGCAGACCAAUAUAUGACAUCGACUCUCUCCUCGUGGAUUCGAUUGGAGCUUUGCGUUGGUCUUGCGCAGUAGUGGGGUAAAUUUUUACGUAGAACACACUUUAAAAGAAAAAUGUGGUUUUGCUACGUGAGAACAAAUUAAAAGCUCCAGCUGCGCUUUUACAUACAACCAGGCAGUGACUGAUAAUCCUGUGACUGACAUUCGGCAGGAGCAUAACAAACCAAUAUUCUAGUAAAUAUAAGAACUAUCUAAAAGAUGACAGGACGUAGCUACUUGCUAACAUAUAUCUCAGUAUCAAGCAACCAACAAAAAAGUAUCAAACAUUGUGAACGGUGGAUAUCCUUCUAGAAGAGUCACGUGCCAAAUCUGUCAGCAAUUUCGGUGUACCGCUAAUAGUCACCAUCUUCGCAGCUCUUCAUUACAAUCUGCAACUGACCAUUCUUCUGCAUCAACAAUAACGUUCUGCGUACAAAACGAAAGAAACAUUUAGGAGCAACCACCCUCUUUGUCGCAGUCAGCCACAACCCUUAUAAACAAACUAUGCAUCCAUUGCCAAGCAUUCCCAGCGCUAGGUAACAUUACGGAACCAUUGUCGUAGUUUUCAUAGCAAAUUGGUACCAGUACAAUGGAUGCAUCGGACUGGUGCCGUGUAAAUAAAAGUCAACACAAUCACACGGAUUUUUUUUUCCGUAAAUCCCUAUAAACUAUAGCUGUACUCCUAUCAUAAUGCAGGACGAGAAAUAUGUGCAACAAUAAUUGUAUUUGAUGUGAACCACCGCAAAGCGAGAACUAAGACCAAACAAUCUUCCACGUGGACAUCGGAAUCUCAACUCGUAGAUUAAGAAACAGCUUGAAAAUCCACGCUCUUCCAAUCGAACUGCGAUCCAGCCCAUGGCGUGAAAGCGAUCGACAUUUGCCGGAACAGGUUCCAGUGCACUUCUGGAAUUGUCGGCGUGCUUCACAUUGCGCUUCCGCUCGGAGCCCAAUUGACGCGCUGGAUGGUGGUGGGAAACGUGAGAGCAUCGUCUUGUGUUUCUGGGUUUUUCUGCAAACCCUAACCUACAACGUUGGUUUUUUUUGUUUUUUCCACUCGCGAUCGUCUUUGCCCUGUGACUGAAUGGUCCGUCGUGUUGGUCUAUUUGAUCGUGAUCAGGUAUCCUAGUGUAACACAAUGGAGGAGAUUAGGAAUUGGUAGUAUGCAUACAAACGAGAAUGGAGUUGGACAGCCAAACUGCAAAGAAUGCAGAGAUUGAUGGUAUACAAUGGUUUUUUGUGGAAUAUGAUAGCCUUGAUUCGUUAAUUCUUUGGCUUGAUGUGGUUUUAGUAGUGGUAAAAGAUGUAAUCUUGGAUUAUGUUGUGUUGUGGAUAGAAAGGAAGUUCAAAAUAAAUAAAUAAAUAAAUAAAUCAAAAUAUAUAUUUGGGGUUUUUGUUGAUGGUUUGAGGAGAAAUUGUGGUGCUUAAAUAGUCAUAUAGUUGAUUUGCAACUAAAGGUGUAUUAUUAGAUUAUGCAAGAUUUUGUACAUAGAUUGCAUGCAUGCAUGCAUUUAUUGGUAGAGAAGAAUGUGUCAAAGAGAUUUGUAGGAUAUUGUGAUGUAGUAUAUAGAUAAUUAUGGAGGUAUUAGAUAUCAAUACUUAUAUAGAAUUGGUAUGAAGAUUAAUAUAUUCUUAAUAUUUUAUUUUUUUACAUUUUUUCUAUGGAAGGUUGAGGAUUAUAAGAGUGUUGCAAUAAUCAAUACAAUCAAUAUUAAAAUUGUUAAUAUUUAUGGAUAUUGUUGUAUAAAAAAGUGUGUUAUAUCUAAUUUUAAAGACUAACUUUUAAAUAAGUAGAAAUAGUAGGAAUAUAAAUAAAAUCAAGUUUAGUAGAAAAAAUAGUAUUAUUUAUGGUUUUUUAAUUGGUUGAAUUAAAAAAUGUAAAAAAAACAGAAUAUGUUUAAAAUUCAUUUUUAUUAAAUGGAUAGAAAGAAGUUGUAUUAUAAAUAAAGGUUUUUGUAAGUUAUAGCUUGUUUUGAUGUUUCCUAAAAAUAUAGUUGUUAUUUGUUUAUUUGUAUUUUGAAUUAAAAUAUAUAUAUAUAUAUAUAUAUAUAUAUAUGCAUUUAAAUAACUUAAAAAUAUGAUGUAUGUAAAUCUUACAAAAUAUAUUUUUGUCUUGUUAUUGGAUUGUUUUAUUUACAGACCAAAGUGUUUAGAGGUAGGUAUUUUAGGAUGGUGGUCAUUUAAGGUUUAGGGUUAUAAUUUAGGUUUUAACGUGAAUUAGAGUUAGAAAUUAUAUUUAAGCUUAGUAAAAUUUCUAUUGUUAUUAUUAUACAUAAAAAAUAAAUUAUUAGAAUACACCCAAGAAUUAAGUUUCAAUUGUAAGAUUAUUUGGACUUGAAGUUUUAGUAUUUGGGUUUCAAGUUUUGACUAUAAAAUUUAAAAAUAAAUGCAUCAUGAGGCAAUAUAGAUAGAAAUGUGUGUAAUAAAUAUUUUAAAACAUAUAAUAAAUAUAAUGUGCAAUUGUGGAUCUAUGGUGAUAAGGUAAAAUUAAAUGAAGGAGUGACUCUUCAUAGCAUAUAUUUUGGAAUUAAUUAAAAAAUAUUUAUAAAAGAUGCAAGUAUUUGUAUCAAGUUUUAAAAAACAAAGAUUUUUAAUCAAUAUAGAACAAUACAAUGAUUAUAUGCAAGAUUUUGUCACAAUAUUAAAUAUUUAAGACAUAAGAGGAGAUUUAUGGAAAGAAUUUCAAGUGUAUAUUAGAGCAUUGGAGGUUUUAUUGAAGAAAAAAAAACAUAUUUAAUAAAAGAAAUAAAUACAAGAAAAUCAAAAAUAUUAUGAAGAUGUUUGAUUGCAUAUUGAUAUGCUACAGCAAUAGAUUAAACUAUGGGCUUUUAUUAAGAAAGUUCUGUUUUGUAUUAAAUCUAAUUUAUGUAUAAUUAAAGAAUUAUAGGAAAAAAAUUGGUGUGAAGAAAAUAUAUUUAAAUUAAAGAAUAAAGAAACGUUUAGAAAAUAACUCUGGGUUUUGAAGGAUUGUUGUAAUAUAAUAAAUGAUAUGCUUAUAAAGCACAAUCCUAAGAAAUUUGAAGACAAUAUGUAUGGUAUUUUUCAUGCUGUAACCUAUGAAGAAGUAAAAGGUGGUGAAAAAUAUUUUUAUGAAGUUAAUUCUUAUAAUUAAAGAAUAUUUUUAAGAAUAUGGAUUAAUACAUCAUUUAUUACAAAGGUUGAAAGACUUAUAAGUUGGAGAAUUUGAUGCUUUAAAACUAUCAUCUAAUUUAUGGUAGUGUUAUAUAUAUGAUAAUAUUAUAUACAUAGUUCUUGGGACAUUAAAGAAUAAAUUUCAAACAAUGAUAGUAUAUUAAAAAUGAUGUUAUUUGUUAAAAAAUAUCUUAUAAUAUUUUAAAAUACAUUAAAAUUAAAAUAAAACUAAUAGAUUUGAAGAUUGUUCAAGAAAUAUUAAAAUCACUAUUGACCAAAAAAAGAGUCAUCUUAGUAUUUGACAGUACAAAGAAUUAAAGACAAAUUGAAGAUCUACCGAUAGAUAAUUUAUUUGCUAGCAAUGUUAGUACAUUGAUUAUGACAACUCAAGAUUAGAAAGCCAUGGAGCAUAAUGUCAUACAAAUUUAUAAAUUGGAUGUUGAAGAGUUGGAUUAAAAAAAAACAAGUCUAAGACUAUGUAUCACUUAUUUUUGUGGAUACCAAGAGAAGUUACUUCAUGAACUUGUUGAAGUUGGCAAAAAGAUUAUAAAAGCUUGUAAUAGCUUACUAUUAAACUUAAAAGUUAUGGAUGCAUUCUUAAGAGAGAAAAAGAGGUUGAAAUGUUAAGAAGAAGCUUUACAAAGACUAAAAAGAUAAAGAGAGUUAGAUGGAGAUGAAAAAAACAGUAAUUACAAGAUUUGGAAUAUAUUGAAAGUAAGUUUUGAGAAUUUGAAGGUUGAAGAAAAGAAUAUAUUUUUAAACAUAUACUGUUUCUUUUGUGAUAAUGUAUGUCUCUAAGGCUUAUUGAAAAAAUAAACAUUGCAAAGAUGGACUAAUAAUAAAGAAAUGAUAUUUGAAAAAUAUAUAAAAUUUAUGUUUAAUAUAUUGAUAAAUCAAUUAUUGAUAAAAAUAAAUAAAGAUAGAAUUAUAUGUAUGCAUGGAAUUAUAGUUCUAUAAGACAUAUAUAGAAAUAUUUUUAAAAUAAAAAUAAAAUAUAAGAAUAUAAAAAUAUAAAAUAUGAAUGUGGAGGCAUCUCAUGGAAUUUCAAAAAAGAUAAUGUACUUAAUAGUUAUCUACAUGUAUUGAGGAUAUAUAUAUAUAUAUAUAUAUAUAUAUAUAUUUAUCUAGAUAAGAGAUAUUAUAUAGAAGGUAAAUAUAAAUAGAUUUUAUAUUAUUUCAUCGCAAAGCUUCUUAAAAGCUUCAUACAUACAUAUUUGACUUUAAACAUGUUUCUAAUUGAUUAGUAGAUUAGAAAUCUAGCCAAUAAAUUAGCUAUGUAUCACAUAUCUUAGUAGUUUGUGAUACAAGCUAAUCAUGUGGUACAUUAAAUUUAAAAAAAAAAAAAAAAAAAAAAAAAAAAACAUAUCUUGUAAGUUAGAUAUGUAUCUUGCAAGUUGGACACGUAUUGGGAGUUCUAUAGAACAUUGCCAUAUAGCUCCUAGUUAGAUUAUAUAUAUAUAUAUAAGAAUGAAGAUUUCUUUAAUCUUUUCAAUUCCUUUGUAGUUUUUACUCUUGUUUCAAGACUUUCUAAUCUUUUUAUCUUUUGCAACAUCCAUUUUAGUUUCAAUACUCUCUUAAUUUAAAGUAAAUAUUUACUCUUUUCAAGUGACAUAAGAAUGAAUUAAAUUUUUAUUUGUUUCAAAUUCAUGUUUUUAAUAAUUUAACAAAAGUAUUAAUUUAUUUUUCUUAUUUUGUUUUAGAAAUAAUUGGAUUAUUCUACUUCUAUUAUUAUAUUUUGAAAGAUACAAACUAUCUAUCUUUAAAUUAUUUUUUUAGUUUUUUAAUACUAUUUUUUUUUUAAGAGAGAAGAUUUUUCUUUUUUAUGGAAAUUUUUAUUUUAUAUUAUAAGUUACAAGUUAUCUUCCUCUAAUUUGAAUUUAUUUGAAUUAUCUAUAUAAUAAAUAAAUUAUAGAUUCUAUUUUUAGUAAAAUAAUAAAUUUAUAAUUAUUAUAGAUCUUCAUGAACUUAUUAAUAUUUUUAGGAUAAAAAUCUCAUAUAUCUCUAACAUUAAUCAUAGAAGCAAUAUUCCUACACCUAUAAAAAAAAUCAAGAAUGAAAUUCAAAGUCUAUGCCAAGAAAUUGUAUAAUUGAAAAAAAUAAGUAGAUCAAGUUCACAACUAAAUUCGAGAAGUCUUGUUAUUACAAAUAUGAAGAAUGUAGAAAUAAGUAUGUCAAAGAAGUUUGAUAGAAUAUGAUCAAAGUUUUAAAUCAAGAAUGAAAUUUAGAGAUUUCUACAACACAUGAAGUUCUAUCGGAGCUUACAUCCUUUUCAAUACUCUAAUGGAUUUGCUCAAGUAAGAUUCAUAAAUAUAAUUCUAUUUGAAAGUGAUUUUUCUUGGUUUAUAUUAUUGAUGGAAAAAGAUAUAUAACUACUUUAUGAUUUGAAUUCAUUCUUGGAAGUAUUGAUGGCCACAUUUAGAGAAAGUAUUUAAAAAAGGAUAAUAGAGACUAAACUUGUAUCUAUAAAACAAGGACUAUAUUUAGCUACCAUUUAUGCUACUAAAUUCUAAAAUCUAGCUUGUGAUGUAGAUUGGAAUGACAAAGCCCUUACCAAUCAAUUUUAAUAUGGGUUGAAAGAUAAUAUCAAAGAUUUAUUAUUAAAAAUUAUCAAGAAAAAAUUCAUUAAAGUAAUUUAUUGCUUAAAUCAUUGCAUGCGACAAUUGAUUCUUUAAAAGACUUUAAGAAUAAAGAUUUGAUUGGAGAGGUAUAAGUCAAUUUAUGGCAAUACCUUCUAAAUUUUGGAAGUUUAUUCAUCAAGGCUAGAACUUAGGUAAAUUUAGAUAAUAUAUUUUAAACCUCUUAUUGUGCAAGAUGUGUUAAAAAAUAAGUUUUUCUAGCUAAAAUUGAAGUUUUGCUACUGAAAUCUUAUACAACAUCUAGUAAAGGUCUUUUUUUUUUUUAGAUUCUUUGCCUUGUUUUACAAUAGAAUUUUAUUUAAGACCAAAAAAUUACAAAGUCUUUACCUUAUUAAAUUCAAGAGCAUUUGUUUUUUUUAUAGAUUAAGGCUUUGUCAAAAAAUAAAAAAUCUCUUUAACCAAGAAAACCAAAUCCAUGUAUGUAAGAAUAAUAGAUGGUCAUUUAUUAUCUUUUAGAGAUGUUAUCUAUAAAAUUAUUCUUUUUGACGUAGUAAUUAAUAGUCAUCAUAGCUUAUUAAUAUUUAAUGUCAUUAAUUUCUUUUAAAUCUAUUUAUUUUAGGAUUAUUAUAAUUAGAGAAGUAUAACCCUCAAAUAAACUAAAUUUCUUAUAGUCUUGAUUUUUUUGUAGUUUAAUUGAAGAUUUUGUAAGUUAAAUAAAAAUUUAUGAAUCUAAUAUAACUAAAUUUUUAUUGAUAGGUAUAAGAGCUUUCAUGGAUGCAACAAAAAAAAAUUCAUCUUUUGCUAUGUAUGCAACAUCUAUUUUUGAUAGUAGAAGGACUACAAGUAAAAUUAUAAGUCAAUAUCAAGAUUAUCAAGAUAUUUUUAAGAAAAAUAAUGCAGAUAUUUUUUCAAUGUAUUGUCUAUAGGAUUUGUUUUGAAUGCAAUAUUUUUACAAAUUGAAGCAUAUGACAAAUUCCAUCUAAUAGCUUUAUUUUUUAAGAAACUUUUAACAAUAAAAAUCAAAUAUAAGAUCCACAAUAAUAAUCUUUUUGUAAUUAUAAAUUUAUUUCAAGAAUGUUAUCAUUAUUCAAAAAUUAAUUUUAGUCAAAUCAUUGUAUAUGUCAAUUAUAAGAACUUUAAAUAUUUCAUGAUAACACAUGUUUUGAAUUGUCAUUAAGCCCAUUGGAGUAUGUUCUUAUCAUGAUUUGAUUUUUAGAUUACUUAUUGAUUAAAAAUAAUAAUAAUAUUUAUGAGACAUCUUUUUUAGAUAGUUUUUUCUUAUAGCAAAAGAAGAAGAUGCAGCUUUUCAUUAUCAAAGAAUGAUUAUCUUGAAGCUAAAGCAAUUUCAACUUGAAAAAAUGAAAUCAACAUUAACUAUUGAUUCAACCUUUCUUGAGCAAAUUCAAUUGAGUAUGUCCUCUAAUCUUCUUAUUUAUAAUAUUAAAAAAAAUCUUCUAAAUCUCAUGAUAUUUCUAAGUUUGAAUUCAAGAAUAAUCUAUUUUAUUUUGAGGAUUGGUUAUAUGUUCUAGAAGGUGAAGCUCAAUUACAUAUUUUUCAAGUUCAUUAUGAUUUUCUAACAGUUGAACAUUUUAGAUACAACAAGACUUUGGAUCUACUAUCUAAAGAUUUUUUAUGGAUUUAAAUAUAGAAGGUAGUUAAAGACUUUGUACAAUCAUGUAACAUUUAUUUAAGAUCAAAAAUUCUUUAUCAUUCACCUUAUGGACUUUUUCAACCAUUACUUAUUUCAAAACAACUAUAGUCUUCUUUUUUUAUAGACUUUAUUAUAGAUCUUUAUUUCUCAAAUUCUUAUGACUUUAUAUUUGUGAUAGUAGAUCAUUUCACUAAGUUGGCAUAUUUUAUACUAUAUGCAAAAUUUAUUACAAGUGUAGAAACAAUUAAGUUUUUUUUUUGAUAAUAUUUAUUCCUGUCAUAAAUUACCAAUGAGUAUUAAAUUGGAAAAAGAAACUUAAUUUUGUAUCAAGUUUUUGGAAAAAUCUUUUUAAGAUUCUAAAGGUAGAUAUAAAACAAUCAUUGAUUUUUUAACUUUAAACUAAUAAAUAAAUAAAGUCCAUAAAUCAAGUUUUGGAGUAAUAUUUGAGAUGUACCAUCAACUACCAAUAAGAUAAUUAGAUAAUUCUUUUAUCAUUGAAAAAUUUUGCUUAUAAUAAUAUGAUAUAUUUAUUUAGUCAAAAAAUACAUUUCUUUGUUAAUUAUGGCUACGAAUAAUAAUUUGAUACUUUUAAAUUUUCAAAAGAUGAUAAUUCAAUAAUAAAAGAUUUGAAAAAUGGUUUAUUAGAGCUAUAUGUAACAAUGAAGGCAUAGUUAAAAGAAUCUCAAGAAAAACAAAAGAUCAAUACAAAUGUUUAUUACAAAAAACAAUCUCAAUUCCAUAUUAGCAAUAAGGCAUGAUUACUUGAUUAUAAUAUCAAGACUCUUCACUUUUAUAAUAAAUUGCAUUACUAUAGACUUAGAUGAUUUUUUAUAUGUAAAUAAAUCAAUCUAAUUUCUUAUCAAUUGUAUCCAUUAAAGUCUAUGAAAAUCCAUCUAGAAUUUUAUAUGUCUCUUCUUGAGCCAUAUAAGACAAUAAACAUAUUAAAAAAACAACAAAUGUCACAUCAUCUUAUAAACGUAGACAAUAAUUAAAAAUAUAAAGUUAAUUUUUUUGACUUAAGGUAGUAUAAAAAUAGAUUAAAAUAUCUUAUUUAUUUGCUUAGAUAUGAUAUUAGUAAAUACACAUAGGAAUUAGUAAAAAAUCUUAUAAAUACAGAAAAAGCUAUUAAUACUUUUUAUCAAUAAAAUCUAUAAAAAUCAAGACAAAAAAUAAUAAAUAUUUUUUAUAAAAAAAAUAAGGCUUAGAAAAAAAUUAUAUUUUAUCUUCUAUCUUUUUUUGUAGUUUUUAUAUAUUUGUAAUGCUAAGGAAAUGAAGAACCAACAACUAGCAGAUUCAACUCAAGAAUUAUUGUUUAUUGAUUUAUUAAAUAAGAGAUUGUAGUUGUCACAACCUUUAAAACAAUAUAUCAGAAAUGAAAAGCCUCAAAAACAUCUUCUUCUUUAAAUACAUGAUGAAAUAUAAUUUUUUUAAUAUCACGUCUUUUAAAGAGACUUAUGAUACUUGAUGAUAUUAUUAGAGAUAGAAACCACCUUUGAGAGUGUUUCAAAUAUUUUAUUUGAAAAAAAAUAUGAAGGCUUUAAUAAUGAUUAAAUAUGAGAGUAGUCUUCAUGCCUUGAUAUGAAAUACUAUUAAUGAUUAAGAAGACCUAUCAAUCACCUUCAAAGAGAAUAAAGAUCAAAAUUUCUAGAAAGUAUAAUUUGCCACAUCUUAGACUUCCUUAAUAUAUGAUUGCCACUCCUUAUGGAACUUGUCUCUAGAAAAGGAAAGUAAUGUCAUGAAUAUAUAUAUAUAUAUAUAUAUAUAUAAGAAGUAUUAAGUAGAAGGUGAAUAUGAAUUGAUUUGAUAUUAUCUUAUGUCAAAGCUUUUUAAAAGAUUCAUAGAUGCAUAUUUGAUUUUGUACAUGUUUUUAAUUAUUUGAUAGGUUAAAAAUUGGGCAAUAAGUAAGUCAUAUGUUACAUGUAUUAAUAGAUUUUGAUACAAGCUAACCAUGUGGCACACAUAUAGAAAACAUGUCUUAUAAGUUAGAUAUGUGUUAAAGGUCCCAUAAAACAUUGCCACAUAGCUCCUAAUUAGAUAGUAUAUGUAGAAGCAAGAGUGAAGUUUUUUUCACUCUUGUCAAUGUUGUUGUAUUAUAAUACAACAAUAUGAUGAAAAUAUAAUCAAAAAUAAAUUUCUAAUUAAUAUUUAAUCAUCUUGAUUCAAUGAUAAUUCAACACAUUUAAACAUAGCUUUUAUAAAAGCCUCUUAGUUUAUUUUCUUAUCUUAAUAGCUAUAAGAUUAAAGGUUAGUUAAUAAUUUUACCUUCUAGGCUAUAAAAAUUCUUUUACUGCUUUAAAGAGGCCAUAAAUUAAUAUGUGUAUCUAGUUUGUAUAAUUAUUAUUACAUUCAUUGUUUAAAAUUUGAUAAUGCUUGGUUGAUUGAAUGUGCUAAGUAUGCAUAAAAUUUUGUAUUAAUUUAACAUUGUAGUUGGAAGAUAUCUAAUUUUUAGUAUAAGAAGGUAUUAGAAGUUGGUAGUUUAAAGUUCAAUAAAAAAUUUAGGAUAUCUAAAGAUCUAUUAGUCAAAAAAAUGUAAAAUUUUGCAUAGUAUUAGAAGACUUAAAGAUCAAGAUAUCCACUAAUUUUGAGCUAAAUAUAAUAAUUAGAGAAGGAGAAACUGCCACUGGAACAUUUGCAUCAACUUUUGAGUUGGCAGCAAAGUAACAUCAAUGCGAUUUUUGGACAUUUUCUCACAAUCUAUAAGUUGGAUUGUGCUGAAUUUUUCUAAGCAUGUAGAAGACUUAUAGUGCAAUUUGUGUGCAAAUUUAUAUCAAGUAGACAAUCACAUUAGAAGUUACAACUUUCCAAAGUUCAUUGACCAGGAUUAGGGCUUGCAAAGAAAAAUCAAAAUUACCUAAUUAUAAAAGUAAUGAAGUAAUUGGAGUUUAUAUAUAAUUGAGGUUACUAAAAAGAGUGUUUUUGAGAAUUUUGUAUUGGAUUUAAGCACUUAUAAAUUGAAAUUCAAAUUACAUUCUUCUUAUAUAGAUGAAACCUAUUAGAGUUUCUUAAAUACUUGUAAAAUACAACUUUACCUUCUACAUCCACAUACGUGAUGCAUUUUCAAACAAUAUAAUAUAACAAUGAAUUCUUUAAGAACUUUUUUUGAAAUUUUUUCAACUUUAAUAUCAAAAAUUAAUAUGUAAGCUAUUAAUUUAUCUUUUUUGUUUGAUUCUUAUGUUUAUUUUUUAAUAUUUUUGUAUAUCUUUUUAUCUAUUAAUUAAUAAUAAGAAUCCAAAAUUUGAAGAAAAUUAAAUCUACGGAUUAGGAAAAAAAAACUCUUAAUUUGCUUGAGUGUUGGUUGUCUUAUUUAUUUAUUUAUAAUCUUGAUAUUAAACUUUAAGUGUCAAUAGCUCAUUUUUUUUACUAUUUUUUAAAAAAUAUUUUCAUAGAUAUUAAAAAAAAGUCAAUUAUUAAUUUAUAAAAAGUAAUCUCACAAAAAAUAGGUAUCAAUCAACGGAUUGUUUAGGUGAUUUUUGUUGAAAGCUAUAUUUUAUUUUUAUCUAAAUAUUUUUUUAAUAUUAUUUUUUUAAUCUAUUAAUUUUUAUCUUUUUAUAGCCUUAUAAGUAAUUAAAAAUAUUUUCAUUAAAAAAUAAUAAUUAAAUAUUUUAUUGCAUCUCUAUUUUUACCUACUUUUUUUAAAAGUAAUUUACUAUUAUAUUUUUUAAUGAAGUUCUUUUAUAAUGUGUUUCCUUUUCUUCUCUUUUAUAUAAUAGCUUCCUUAUAAUACAACCUCUUCCUCCUUUGAAAUCUUGCUAAGGAUCUUCACAUACUUUAAGUAGUUAUCAAUGUAAAGUUACCUAAUUUUUUUGGCAAUAAUAUUAAGCUUGAGCAACUUGAUAUGUUCAAGGUGGUCAAAGAUGUGAGAUUGCCUAAUUUAUUUGGAAAUGAUAGCAACCUAUAAUAACCAUACAUAUUUAGAUUUUUUAAAGAAUUCAAAGUUUUGAUUGAUUUUAGUAAUGUUUUUAGUUCCUUACUAUUUUUUAAAUUGAAUUGUUUUAAUCAUAUCAAGUGUUUUAUUAUAUUUGAUAAUAUGUCCAAAUUUGAACAUGCUUUUUAAAACAAGCUCUAAUGGUGUUGUCAUUUAAAGAAUAGCUUGAAAAAUAUUUUUAUAAUAAUACAAUGUUUCAAUUGUAAGACAUUCAAGGUCUUAAAUUUCUUCCAAACAUCUUUGAUAUUUAGAAUAUAACUUUCUUUGGCUAAUUCAUCUGAAUUUUCAUAGUAUGUAAAUUAUAAAUUAAAAAUAUAUAUUAAAAUUUAAGAGAUAUUUUUUUAAAUAAAGAGUAUAAAAUUUAAAUACAUUUUGGUAUAUUACAAAAUAUAUUUAGUUAGUUUUAAAAUUUAUACUUUAUAUUAUAUAAAUAUGCAUAUAUUUAAAUAUUUAUUUAUUUAAAAAUAUAUGUAUGUAUGUAUAUAUAUAUAUAUAUAUAUAUAUUCAAAAUGAAUGAGUUAUUCAGUUCUUAAAACUUUACAAAAUAGAAACGUGAAAUAACAUAUAUUUCAUAUAAUAUUUCUGAAGAAAAACAAGUUCAGUAAAUAAUAUAUGUGAUCUAAUACAAACUCUUAUAUCUAAAUAAUAUAAAAACUUGGAUUUCAAUCAAUCAAAUUGUCGUCCUAUAAAUAUGCUUAUCCUCAAUAAGAUUUAUAAACAAAGAGGAUUUGUUAAUUUUUUUGGUAUAAAUGAUUACAAGAUAUAUAUCACACUAGUUUAUAUGCUAAUUGUAAGAUAUGCCUCAACUAUUGUCUUGCUUGAGAGUAAGGUACACAAAUUGAAAUAACAUGGAUUUGUGCACAAGAGCCCAAAUACUAAAAAAAUAGGAA
rnacentral:lncRNA from 1 species